CUGGGCUUCCUGCUGCAGGGACACAGAGUCUCAACCAAUACCUUACCGGCAGCCUUGACAUCGAUGAUGACAUGGAAGACGAUGAAGAGAGCGAUGCUGAUCUUGACCUCGAUAUCGACAGCAGUGGAGAAGUUGUUUAUGCAAUGUAAUUGUUGAUAGGAUUGAAAAGGACAAACUAAAACACACAUUUGUAGAAUACACUUGGACGAUGAAGACUGAAGAGAUCUCAAGACCAUAGUAUAGAGAGGUUUAUCAAUAGAAUUGUGAACCGUGAACUGAGUCAGUGAAUCCAUCUGUUCCUAUAUAUAUAUUAGCUUUUCCUUGGUUUGGGGUUUUAUUGAUCACCUUUUAUAAGUGCUUUCUCUGUAUAAUUUGUCUAUCAACCCCAUAGAUGCACACUUCAUCCUCUACCGUUGUAAAUUUUUCUGUAGAAAAUAUUUGAACUGCUUUGUCAAUCCUCUGUUUUCAUAAUCUGCAUCCAAUAAUAUGAUUAGGUAACAUAGUAAAUUCCCACUUUGACAAGUGAAAUUCAUUAGAGGUUCUAAAAUCGCUAUCAAAGUAUGUUAUAUAUAUCAGUUGUAAAAAAUGCACGAAAGAACAAAAAUAGCUUUUGAUAAACUACACGCGAUAUCCACUCCACGGUCAGCUUUCUGAAUUGGCAUUUUCCUGGACAGUAGGAGCUAGGUUUUGCCCACUGUUCGAAUUUCCAUCUUCAGAUGUUUCAACUGAUGGUGGUUGUGACUGGGUUGGAGCCACCAUCUCUGGAGGAGGAGGAGCCGGAGCUGAAUACACACCUGGUGGAGGAGGGUACACACUUUGCCCAUACACAGGAGGUUGCGCAUGUCCCCCACUAACGGUUUGAUAAGACCCAGACUGGUCAUUUCCUGUCUGAGGAAGCGAUUGGGUCUGGUCCGUCGUCUGGUAAGUCCAGUACCCAGUGGAAGCUUGGUAUGCUGCAGUAGGAUAUGUACCUUCAGAGGUUCCAUUUGAUGAUGGCAAAGCAGAUGGUGCACUUCCUGAAUUAAGGUACAUGUUUUGUUGAUCAUAACUUGGUGGAAUCUGCCCAUAACUUGGUGCCUGUUGGGAGUAGCUUUGAUCAUAACCAUGAGUGCCACUUGAGGCUGGCUGACCAUAGCUAUAGUCAUGAAACUGAGGAGGAGCUGACCCAACCUGAGACUGUUGGCCAUAGUAAUUAUAUCCUGUACUUUGGUCUGAUGGCUGGACGGUUGAUUGAUUCGAUUGAUCCCAGCUUGCUACUUGAGCUGGGUAGGUGCUAUAAUAUGGUGGCCCCUGAGGCGGGGGAUAGGUUCCUGCUGCAUAACCAUAUUGAGGUUGUUGCUGCUGCAAUGGAGGUUGUUGUCCAGCUUGAGACCAAUUGUUGGUAGAAGGGUAAGUUGGUUGUGCAUAGCUAGUAGUUUCGGAUACCAGACGUUUCUGCAGAUACGGGUAUAUGACUUAAAAGAUAAUCAAUAUUCAAAAUCUUGCACUCUAUCCAAGUGUAUGCCAAUCUCUUAAGAAAAUUAUAAAAAUUCUGAUCCUUUCAACGAGGAAUACAAGAACAAUUUGUAGUUAAAGUUUAACUGACACAGUGCUUGUCCUACCAACUUGGAAAGUCAGGUUUAAUUCACACAUUAUUAAAAAGAUAGACCAGCUUGGCAAGAAAAUUCCACAGAUAAGUAGAUUCAUUAAUUACAAGUACUAAAUAAAUUAUGCAAAAAUAUUGCUUUUAAAUUAAUUACACCAAAAGUGGAGAGGAAUACUACGGGUUGCCAUGCACAUUUCAGAUUUUCAAUCAGGCAUCAGACACGAUAAUAUAAGUAAACAAACCAAAGAAACAUCAGCGGGAAAUUAGUAAAGCGAGAAAAAAAAAAAAACAAUGGCAUAGUUUAGAAGAAAUUUGAUGGUUUAGAUGUCAUUUCCUAAUGAUACAUUUAGAAAGUUAGGAGUUAGGAGUUAGGAAAGGAAACCAUUCUCCCUUAUAAAAAAAAACAUGCGAAGGCAACAGAGGUACGUGAUGAGUGAUAACUUACCCCGCUUAUGACUUCGUUGAUCAACUCUUUGGCUGACUCAAUCUGCUCCUUAAGCCCAUUAAUAUAAACACUUCUCUCUGUCGAUGUAUCUCCAGGAGGGAGGUGCAAAGGGAUAAUCUGUAAAAUGAUUAUUAGCAUUCCAGAUUAAGAGUACAAUGUGAAUGGUGAAGAGGCAUAUAAUAUUAUCAUAAGGGCGCUAAGACAACAAAGUAAUUUUCUUAUCUUUUUUUUCAAAUACAAACCCGUCUGGGUGGGGGGAUAAACAAAGCUAAGGAUACUAAGAUGUUGUAAUGAUGAAAUGGAGAUCUUUCUUUUCCUUUAAGUGAACGAUUUUUUUUCAAAUACACAAAGCUGAAGUGAGAAAAGAAGGCAAAGAAUAUGUGACUUCAAACAAUUCAGACAUGUCAAGGUUACAAAUCUAACAAUACUAAACAGAUUCAAACGGUAGUAUUCCUUCUCUUUGCUAAUUUUAGAGGCUCUUGGCUGUUUUUGUUAGGCAUUGGGAACAGUGCAAUUGUAUCUAGUUCACCCAAGUUAGAUAAUACAAUACCUGAACACGAGCAGCUGACUUGCUCUGUAUGCUCUUUAUAGUUUCACCUCCCUUUCCAAUGACAAGUGCAACCUAUAAACAAAAUCAUUACAUAACAUUAGCUUUACUUUCAAGGGUAGAUAAAACACAACGAAAGCAACUACCUUAUUAUUAGGAAUCUUCAUUACAAACUGCUCAACUCCAGGUUGACUUGAGUUAAUUGCCUGAUUAGUGGUUGAGGCAGAACCCCCUGAAUCUGCCUGUUACAUAAAGGUGCCUAAAUUAGCUUCACAUCUUGAACACAAAAGUUGACAAAGAUAGCAUUCUAAUCAGUGCUUUACCUCCGCAAUCACUUCAUUGAUAAGCUGUUCUGCCCUGCUAACUUGUUCCGAAGUGCCCAUUAAUUCAACAUCUCUAGUUAAAGACUGUGGAUCAGCUUCAAAAUCUCUGGUGAUCUGAAUCUUAGCACCUGAUUGAAGUUGAAGGUAUUUGAUUGUUUCUCCUCCUUUCCCGAUAAUCAAUCCAACCUACAAACAGAUUUUUGGGUGGGGGGCGGAAAUCACAAUUGUCAGCAGUAGGCAAAUGGUAAUCUAUCUGAAAACAAUGUGGCAAAACUAAGUACCUUAAUAUUUGGAAUAUUUAUUUUCUUACUUGUGGUUUGAAAACCAUGAUAUGGACCUGCUUGAGUACCAGAAGAAACUAAACACUUGAAAGUUAGCAAAAUCUAGCAUGACAAAUUUGUGUUUCUUUUCAAUAGAAAGUGUAACACACGUUCAGUAUUUAAAGAAUACAAAAAACAGUGUGAAUCUCAAGGAUUCCAAAGCAUGUUACAGAUCUUAAUGCAAGAAGGAAACAAGACAUGAAGCAGAGUGAUUUGAGUAUGAAAAUAAAUGAACAUCUACAUCUACUUCACGAUUGGUAGAAUAAGAAUUAUUUUUGAAAAAGGAAACAAGCUAGUAGAGUAAGAAUUAUUAACCAAAUUAAACAUGCCAAAAGGAAUCUCAAGUAACAGGCAAUAAAUAUAAUCAGUUCAAAGAAGAGUUACACAACCCAUUAAUGUGGACAAACAAACAUAGAAGAAAAGGAAAGAAAUAAUGAAUUUUCAAUGACAAACACAGAGAGACUGUAGACCAUACAGCCUCAAAUUGAAGAGUCAUUUACAUUAUUUUUUAAACUACUAUGCUUUUGUUGUUGAAUAAAGAAACAGAUAUUCCUUGUCUAAACUACAUGAAGUUGUCAAGAACAAAUUUUCUUUCCUAGCUCUAUAACAUCCUGAUCUACCCACCCCUAAUCUCGUCAUUCAGUGGUACUGUUUCACUCUUUUCAUAAAACUCCAUAAGCCUAGUGUUAAGGAUCAUUUUGACUGUGGCCACAAACCGAUUAUGAAAAGUUUUAACUGUAGUUGAAUGGAAAGACAAUUGUAAACUAAAGCAUUCACAGAUGAAGUACCAACGCCUACUCGUAAAUUGACACUGCAAGAUGCAAUUUUAACUCUCUUUUGUAUUUGUACAUAAAUUGCACUGGUUUGAAUAGAAGGAGAGCAGGAAAGGUCAUUCUUUGGGCUCCUUCCAUUAACUACCCAAAACAAAGGGUGCCACAUAUUUGAGGCAGUGCCACUCCUAUUUAUUGCAAGAGCGAGUGCUUUAUGAAGAAAACAACUUACAAUCAGGUUUAUGAACAAAGACUCCGACAAGAAGUAAUUUGGAUUCUAAAUGUUCCACAUCCUUCUAUGAUUUGAUAAAAAUUACAAAGUUGGGGGAAAUGGAUUUGAAACAACUCAUUCUAUAGUGAUCAAAACAACAAUCCUCUGUUAUUUUCAAAAGAAAAAACUUAAAGAGCACCAGUGUAGAGAGGUUCUUCCUUUUCUGACAAAAUAAGCUUGAUGUGGCAUGGAGAUCACAUGCAUGGGUUAAUUUUUCCGUGAGCACUGUAUGUAUGUAUGGCGUCAAUGCUUUUGAGCUGGGUUCACCUAAAUGUGGGAUACAAUGAGAGAAUCCACUUCGGUGUUGCUCUCAACAUUCUUGAGAGGACCUAGAACAAAUUUUGCCGAUUUAAUAGGCCACCGUCCUUGUCCAUCUGAAUGCCUGUUUUUGGCCUGUUUGAUCAACACCCCUACAAAAUAGUCAAAUUGGAAUCGCUUGCUUGGGACAAGAACAUCCUCCAAUUAUCUUUUUGCCUUGGCCAAGGGAAACUUUCUGAGGACAUGAGCUGUCUCUCCUGUAUUCUUGAAAUGGACUCUAAGGUUGAAUCGACUUGGUGGCGUUAUCCUGCUCCCCCCCUUGAGUACUUAACUAUGGCAGCAGAUGACAGUUCUCGAAAAAACUUGAGCCCCUCAUGUGAAUUAAGCUCCAAUGAGCUCUCUUAUCUAAAUUAGUGUUCCAUGGGCUACGGAAAGGAAACGUACAUUAGGAGGAUAAGUGGUUAGGAUAGACUCCUCUGCUUAAUGUUUCCCCAUUUAUAUCAUUGACUUCUAUGCAAAAUCAUCUAUCACAUGGCUCUCUUGUGGGUUAAGGAGUUUGAGUUUAGAACGGUGAAAAUGGAUAUUUGCCUUCGCAGCAGUGACCCUACUGGGGGCUGUAGUUUGUUUUUUCAUUAAAUUAUUCAACCAUUCUCCUUUUCUCGUCUAUGUGUUAGGUGAAAAUUCAAAGGUAAAUUCUUUGUUUGGCAGAAAAGAGAAUACUGUCUUUGAUCAGGUUGUAAGGAUGCAUUAUUAGUUGGAAAACAGAGGAAGGAGAAGACCUAGGUAAUAUCUUUUGGACCUACAUCUUUGCAUAAGCCGUGGGAAAUUCUCAAUUGCAUCAACGCACAAGUUCUCGUAAAGAAAGAAAUUCAUUUUCAUCAACGUCUCAACUGUCAUAGUAAAGCAGCAGAUAUCCAAAGAUUACAAUAAGAAGUAUGCCAACAUCAUGGGGUACCAAUUGCUACAAACUCCAUAAUGCUCUACAAAGAUGAUUUCUGAGCCUUUGGACUGGAUUGAUGUGACCCAAAAAUGACAAAUUGUUAAAACAAGAUUAGAUUUGAUAGACCGUGAGAAAGCUUGUUCAAACUUCCAUCACAAAGGUUACCCUUUGGAUUCAGAAAAUGACUCGACUCCAAUUCCAUUUUCUCCAACAAAUGAAACGAGUAAAUCUUUCAUCCAUACACCCAACUUAACCAUAAUUCUAUACUAUCAAAAUAGUCUAAAUCCAACGACAAGAAAGUCAAAGGAAGAACUAGUAUUAAACUCAAGAGCAUAAAAACAAAACGGAGUAGCAGAACAUUACCUUAACCUAAUUUCUUUUAAAAGGAAAAGAAAAGGAAAAAAAAAAAAAAAAACCCUAGAUGCAAAGGAAUUGAAGAUAUUUUCGAAGCUUACCGGUAAAUGUGGAAGAGGAUAAUGGUGGGUUUUGAGGGGGAGGGCGGGAGCGGGGGGUUCAUACUCAAAACGAGGGCGUUUGGACUCGGCAUUGCUGACCAGCUUAGCAACAAUUUCCUGAGCUUUUUGUUUGGCCAAUUGAAUAUUCUCUUCGAGCUUGCGCUUGUUAGUGUCGGAGUGAAGCUCAUCGGCGUCGUCGUGGUCUUUCAUGGGGGUGGGAAUAAAGUGUUGGAGAAGGGAAAUAGCGGUGAGGGGAGGGGAGAGGAGUGGAUGGAGGAGGGGUUUGUUAAAGAAGGGUGGUGGGUAGCGGUAGGGCUUUUUUAAGUUUGCUUUUUAAAACCAAAAUGGAUUCCCAAGUCUUUCCCUCGAAGUCAAACUUCUCUUCUAUCAUCUCUACACAUUUUUUCUUUUUCUUUUUCUUUUUGUAUUCUUGUUAUACUGAUUUCCAACCCACCCAUUCCCCAUAGUCUAUGUAUUUUGAUAUUCAAAUUUUAUCUUCUAAUCUUUCUCAAAACAAAAACAAAAUUCUUUAAAUCAUUUUCUACCGGAUUCUCUUCCCACCCAAAUCUUCAUUAUCCCCUCACUUUGUUGCAGUGUACCUAAGCUGACCCAUACACCGAAAUCAAAAUUCUUUCAAUCAUUUUUUUUAAUCAUUAGACCAUGUUUAUGGAUCAAGAAAUCAUAAUUGAAUCAAAUAAAGAAAUUGAAGAGAUGCGACGCUUGGAAGUUGAAGAGUUAUUUUAGCAACCCAAAAGUCAUAAUAUUAAAUGGAACCGUGUAUUUAUGUGCUUUUCAUUUACCAUGGUAGUUGAAAAUGCAUAGAAUUAAAUGUGACUUUUCAUUUCAUAUUUUAAUUAGUGUAAAUAAAGUUGUAAUUUCCCCGUUCUUCUUAAAGAAGAGGAAUUUGGAUGAAUGAAAUUUGAAAAUUCUAUAACGUAGAAUUUUGGUCUUGUGUGUUCUUGUGAUAGAAUGCACGAAUAUUUGAAUCAUUCAAGUGAUGAUUGAUAUGUUUUGCUUGUAGAGUGCUUUAAAGAUCGAGGGUUGAUGGAAGUUUCAAAACUUUGCCCGAUCCUUGGUUUCUUAGAUCAUCUAAGUAACUUGAAUCUAGCAUUUCUUAGGGGCUGUGUUCUUUGAGUCUUAUUGUUUAACAUGGUUCUUAGAUCAUAUGCCCAUAGGUUUCUUAUCAUUUGGUAUCAGAGCUUUGGCUCUAGAUCGGAUAUAUCUUUUCAUUAUUGCAUUAUGUUCUUAAUUUUCUUGAUCCAUUUUUUUAGCUAUCUCAUUCACAUCGAGUUCUUCAAUGUUUUAGAUCUAGGUCUAAGCUAUAAAAUUGUCAUUCUAUAUAUUCAAGUUCUAUCACAUUAACACCGAUCAUGAUCCAUUAGGGCAUAGCUUUGGAAAUAAUGAUACCGAUCAUUAUAUCAAUGGUUGAACGUUCAAUCUCUCGCCCCACAAUGAGCUGUUAUACAAUUAUUUUCACAAGCCAUCCUUACUAAUUUUCUUAAAGUUUAGGAAGGAGUUGAAGUGUAAAACCAGCCUCCACUACUUUCUCUGUACUACAUACAUGAAAGAAAGAAAAUUUUGAGAAAAUUGGAAUUACAUUGGGUUUCAUUUAAAGCUUAUCAGGAACUGUUUAUCAGGAAAAUGAUCCCUUUGAUGAAGCACAAUCAGUCUCACGCUAUAAGACUCUAUUGAUCAGUUUGCUCGAUCGAUCACUUCAUUCUAACAAAGCCAAGGAUGAUUGAAAGAGAAGGGGAUUACAAGCAUGUCACGAAAUCCUACAUAGACAAGAGUGUAAAGUUUCAUGCAUUGAACAAAAUGCAUCUGCUAAUGCCAGAUAAUUGGAUCUCAUUACACAUGUAAAACAAUACAAAUAUGGUCAUGAUUAUCCCGUUUCUGUUUAACCAUUUUCCCCUUUUCAAAAACUAUCGAUUCGUCCCUUAAUUUGCAUUUGUUACAAUUCCAAGAACCUUAUUUGACAACAAAUUCACGUGUUACCCAGUUAUCGAGGGACAAAAUGAUAGAACACAAACAAAACUUAAAGACGAUAUAGAAAUAUAUAAAAAGAAAAAAAAAAUUACAACUAACCCAAGCAUAGUUCAACUGCUUAAAGCAUAAAUUACCCAGUCAGUGGUUUAUAUCCUCUAACACGUGAUGUUGAACUCUAAAUUAUUGUUGUUAAUAAAAUAAAAUUGCGGUACUUGGACCCUCCCUCUAUUGAGAUCACUCAAGCCUAAACCAACUCACUCAAUUUGCACCUCUACGCUGUAACUUUUCCCACCUGCUGAAAACAAUUCUCCUAACUAAUUAUUGACAUAUCUUUGAUACCUUAAUAAGAUUGAUUAUUACCAAUACGAAUCCUAUCAGAAAGCUACUAUUAAAUCUGGCCUCAAUAUUUGAGGCACCCAAGUCAUAAUUAUUAUUCCUCACAUGGGCAUGAUAAUGAAAUUAGACUCUAACAAGCAUUGAGCAACAGUACUUUUUUUUUCUUCUUUUACUCUUAGUAGUAAUACCUGGUCCAUUGUUCUAUAUGCGAUUUCAAUUAAUUCUUCUUCGUAUCCAGGUGAUUCUCGUUAUGCUUCAGCAACAUCGAUGUCUUUUGGGGUCUUCUAAACCAGAGAAACAUAGACCAUGUAGUUCUGACCAAACCUCCAUUUGCCAAGUGAGGAAUGAAUAUGCGACCCCAAUAUGGAUAGGAUGGGCCGGGCAGUUUAAUGAGAGUGAAGAAUAUUGCAAUUGUGAUCAAAUGCCAAGGUACUUCUAGAUCCUGGAAAAAAGGAAAACGGUGGAUAAUAGAAAAGACUAUUAACUUGCCAUUCUAUUUUAGAAAGAAACAAUUAUAAAAGGAACAAUUACGAAAUGUUCAGAAAAGGAGUUCAUCCAUGAUUAAUAAGACAACCUCAGAAACCUACUGAAUCCCCCAAGAGAUCAUUAUUCCUACUUGCCACUACAGUUAAGGCAUCCAAGAUGAAAAGUAUCCUCAUAGACAAUGUAGAUAGUAGAAAUUAGAGGCCAAUGAAGAAUUUCAAACAGCUCUUUAAAUUGUAUUCCAACUAGAGGGCAAGCUUUAGAGUGUGUUCCAAAGAAAAAUAAUCAACGGGAAGCCUAAUAAAACAUGUUCAAACAUUCCUAGCUAAUAGCAUUUCGAAAAUGACUAUUGUUCAAAAUGAAAAAUGCAACAAAGACAAAAAAGAACAUGGAGGAGUUGACUAAAAAAACAAUAAGGAAAUGAAAUAACAAGUGCAACAUCAGAUAGUUGAAAUGAUUUUCAAUUUUACUUGGUUAAUAAUUGGAAAAUGAUUUUCAAUUGCCUCACCCGCAUAUAAGAAUUAUUUACCUAAUCCAUAAAUAGUAGAAAAUGUUAUUAUCAAAGCCUCAACAAGGAUGACAUAAAAACAGAACUAAAAUGGAUGAUAUCAGACGAAUGCUUCGUCAAUAAUCCAUUCAACUAACGUCUCACACAUAAUGGAGAGGUGAUACUAAAAUCUUACCUUAAGAAUUGGAGAUAGACUUAAAGCUGUCUGUCUCAUGACCUCAGCAGCGGAGAAGCCAAUUAUAAAUAGAAAUGGGACAAUAAGAAGCUUCUUUUCAUGAGCACAGUAAGACAUCUCGCUAAGGGAGGUAACGAGGAGUAAUGGUACAAACAAGUACUUGAUAACCGUCAAGAUGAGAUCAGCAAUAAGCUGGAUGAAGUUAUCCAAUGCCUCGUUCCAAGGGAAAGACUUCACUGGCUCUGGUGAACUUUCCCAAAGCUGUUUUACCCUGUUCUUCAAACUAUCCCAAUUUACCCUUCCUGAAUCGUCUGAUUGUCCUGCAGUCAUAUUCGUAGCACAAGAGACCACUGAUCCAGCAUUCUGAAAUCUUUUAUGUGGUUUUAAACUCACUACGUGGCUGCAUUCUGGUGACCGUCGCUACAACAGGAAUAACUUUUGUAAACAAAUUGCUCGAGACAACAUGACUCAACCAACAAUGUCUUGACAUAUAAAUUUGGAUGCGUCAGUUAUGUUGAAAAACAGAAAUUUAGAAAAAGAAAAGGCAACAGGCUAAGCAAAAGGUGCCUCAAGAAAAAGUUGAAAAAAAUUCAUUAAACAGAAUGCAAAUCCAUCACAGAAUUGACAGUCUAAAUUUUAAAAGCAGAAGAUGCAUAUCUGUUCACCAUUGACCAAAAUACCACUUUCACCCACAAAUAUUAGAAGACAAACUAAAGCAAAUUCAGUCAUUUCUAGUUUAGACCUGGAUAUUCAUUCAAUUCAGAAAGUUCAAUCCAUAGGCCAUUAAUGCUGAAUAUAGAGGAAAUAACAUGAUAUGAGUUUGAACGAGAGCCCCCACAUUAUCAUCACGUUCAAUUAACACUAAUGACUAAACUCAAAAGUUCAAGCUAAUAAGCUAGGAUGAACUUAAUCAUUCUAUAUGCAUUUCAGACAUAGAUGCACCCUUAUGAUAACCACAGUCUUCAGCAUUCUUCCCUCUUGAAUGGUCUCUCCUUUCCUUCAUGGCAAUGAGAAGCUAAAAUAGAUAAGUCUAUACCUCUUUUCCUUCACAGCAACACUAUUUUCCUUCAAAUUGAGUUUUGAAAUCACCAAUCACCAUCACCCACAAAUUCAUAUAAAGGUUAUUCCAUAAAUUCAAUCAACAUCGUUUCUCGACUACCAAUUAACUCCAUCAACACAAAUGCAUUCUCGAAAACUAUAAACCAAGCUCUUAAAAUCCCACCCACAAAAUCAAGCUUCACAGAAGAUACUUCAGAAAAGAAAGAAAGAGAAAAGGGUGGUGGAGCUUACACUGGGAGCUAGAAGAAACGGGGCGUGAAGGGCCAGUUUCAUGGAAGUUUGAAAGUGGGUGGGCGGAGAAAGCAGGUGGGUCGCCAUAGCUGGACCUCAAUUGAAGCUUUUGAUAGAGGAAACACAAUUUUGGAAGGAGGGUUUCUUCUCAGACACUAUAAGACAUGAGAAAAUCUGAGCUCCAGCGAAAGAAAAACCUGAACUUGGAUAGAAGGGUUUAAGAUGACGGGACCCAAAUACGCUGCCGGCUCCCCACGGUAAUACGGAAGGAAGAAUUGCUAAAACUAAAUCGAAAUUACUUUUUAAAAGAAAAACCAUCAAAACUAAAAGUCAAUUUUAUUAUCCUAUUUUAUAGAUUUUGCAUUUUGGAAAAAUAUGGGGUCUCCAAAUAUUGGGUCUGCUAUAAUCCAAGUGAUUGAAGUUUAAAUUUUAACAGAACUUAGAGCAACAAUGUGCAUUGUCAUUGAAAAAGAAAGAAAGAAAAUUGUCCUAAGCAACUCUAACAAGUUUUUAAAAACUUGUUAUAUGAGUUUACGUCUUUGGAGUACAUGAUGAGCAAAGCCCAAGAGCCCAAUCUUCUAGGGAGGCCCACCUGCUAUUCCCUUUUAUUCUACUAUUUCCAUUCUUUUAAAGCAUCCUUAUCAAAUUAAAACAAACCUUUUUUUGUAUUACAACUAGUCAUUUUAUCUUUUCCAACUUUAGUAACAUUUUGCAUGACUUAAUGAAGCACCAUCCAGGAAUUAAAUACCCAAGAACUCUUUAUUUGCUUUCUUUAGAUAAAAUCAACACAAUUCUUAAAUAUAUAGACCAUGCAUGCAGGUGUAUGAAUAACUCACAAAUGAGUGAUGAGUCUUCCUUAGGCUCCAAAAUUAAUAAGAAAGGAAAAUGUCAAAUUAAACCACAAAAGGGGAGUAUGGGUUCCAAAGGGAAUGUCAAACCACAAACGUGUCUUCCCAAUUUCCCAUGCAUAGGAAUAUCACAUUUCAAAGAAAAAUGUCAAACCACAUGUCAUCCUACAUUUACCAAUAUUCUUUCUUAAAUAAAACACCAUAACCUACAUCUAAAUUAUUACAAUAUUUUCAUCGGUUCUAGUUUUGACUACUACCUACCAUAUAAAUAAUCAUAAAUAUUUCUCUAAAUAAAAAUUGGAAUAUUCUACCCUCAACUUGAAUCCAUCUAAAUCAAUUUUCAUGUAACAAGUUCAAUGAAUUCAUCAAAUCGAGUAAUAUAAUAAUUGACAUCAAAAUGAAACUUCAUUUCAAUUUCAAAGUCAAACCAAUUCAAAACCAAAUAAAUAUACUUAUAGGCAUUAUCUCUCAGUUCCAAAAAACAAAACAAAAAAAACCCCUCAAAUGCCUUACUAUUAAAUAAUUAUCAUCCCACUUUCUUUCAUUUUUUAUAAAAUUUAUCUAAUGGUCAAAGUUUUGAGUUAAGAAGCGCAAAAUAAAACUAAACUUAGCAAAAAAAAAAAAAAAGAAGCAUCUCAAAAUAUUGAUUACGGUUUAAUAUCAUUUGACCACUUCAAUUUAUGAAUAUAUCGAUCAAGAAGAUAUUUUAAUUUUUAUUUAAGAGUAAGCUCAAACUAAUUAAGGUAUGUGUUGUCAAGAGAGAUCAAAAGUUCAAACUUUGUACCCUCCAAAAAAAAUCAAAAUAGGUGACUUAAACAAGUGAUUAAUAAAAUGAAAGAAUCUUAUAUAUCUUCAAACACAAAUAGAAAUGAGAACAAUUAUUGAUCAUAUGUCAAGAGGUACUUUUGAGAAUAUUGGCAGCUUUUUACUCUCCAUUCUUUAAAACAUUUGUAACAUAGCCUAAGUUGGAAAUUUCUAUCGAGUUUUCAAUUAAAGAUCGAAAGAAUAUGAAUAUAGUUAAUGGCCACACAAAUAUAAAAAUUUGUUUUGGGAGAGUAGACCAAAGUUUUCACUUGAAAAGUGGAUUUUGUUAAUAAUUUUAUGGUUAUACAUGUAGGUUAGGGUUAGGGUUAGGGUUAGUAAGUUGAUAGAAGAAAAUAUUUUAAAAUUGCAAAGACUAAGUUACUACAUAGUGAAUGUUGAUUUUAUUAUUUUUAGAAUCAAAACUAAACAGAGAAUGAGAAAAAUAUCGUAAAAUUAUGCUCAUGUUUUAGCAACACAACAAAGGUUUAACUCAUCCAUGUGUUAGAUAAUUAGCCCAAAAAAACUCAUUUUAAUAUUUUAUUUCAUAACCAUUUUCUUUUCUGAUAAUGUCAAGAACUACAACUGUGGAAAUGUUGAAGUUGAACUCCUUAUAAAUAAAUAAUAUUAACAAUAAUAUAUAAUUUGGACCCACUUAAUAAGUUAUUAUUAUUGUUGGAUAAUUGAGAUAAUGAAUAUUCAUUGUUAACCAACAAAUAAAUAAAUAAAAUUGUUUAAAAAGAAAUGCUACUAAACAAAGUGGAAUGAUGGACUGAGGAAUUAAAAAUACAAUAGAGGAGCCAAAGUCAUUCCCCACAUUUUAUUUAACAAAUUAGAUUCAAAAUGUGAUUUAAUAUUACUAAUUAAUCAAUAAAUAUUAUCUUAUUUCUUGUUAUUAUUCUUAUAUUAUUAGUUUAUAGGGAGGAAUUGAAAGGAAACCUUUCCAAGACUUCGGAAACUAAGAUUUUUAAUUGGAAAACUCCUAUACUAAACAUGUUAGAAUAGGUCUAAGAGGUAAAUCUAUCUUCUAACUCAUUUAAGAUUCAGAUUCAAGUCUUGUGUUAUAUUUUAUCUACAAAAUGUUUAGAUCCAUCAAUAUGUAUGUAAGCACAUGCACAUGUAUAUAAUAGGUUAGAGGGAAUAAUGUAGUCCCAUUGAACAGUUGAGGGCAACUUUUAUCAUUUAGUAAAAAGAUUAAUGAAUUUAAUUGAGUGGCAGCUGGGUGGUUGCAAAAUUUAUAAGAUAAGGUCAUGAUAUGAUCAGUCACAUUACUUAUUUCAAACAUGUCUUUGCUGCCUCCUCGUGGAUAAACUUUGAACUGUUCACUGUUCACUUUUCUUUUUCUUUCAAAAAAUAAAUUGUUCUCCAUCACUUUGUGUGUCUAAAUCAUGACUUCCUUUUGAUCCCCACUCUUUUAUGUACUUUUUCUUUUUGGUUUCAAACCAAUGAAAAGCAUCUUGUUUUUCUUUUUUCUUUUCUGAACUUUUCUUCUUCUAAAUUUAUCAAUUCGCUAAGUGGUCUCUCGUCUUACAUGUGAUGUACUUAUGCCAAUUUUACUUUUCUUUUACUUUAUGAUUGAAAAGAACGAAUCUGUUUAGGACAACAGAGAGUGUGCUUUACUCUCUUUGUAAAUGAGAAGGUUUAAUUUAUAAUUAAUAAAUAUCAUGAUCAAUUUUUACUGAGAGGAAAACAUAUUAUUAAUGAUAGCAUUGACAUAAACUACAUCAAAUAAUUAAUAACAUUCCAUCAAUUAUUGUUGAAAGUAAAAUAUACUAUUUUAUAUAUAUAUAGUUUGAAUUUAAAGCAUCACUUUUUUUUCUUUUGAACUGCUGUACUGAAAUGAUUCUCUUCUAAAUAAUGAAACCCUUUAUUAUUUAAUAUAAAGUGAUGCAACUCAAAUAAUUGGGGAAGACAUAAACAUAUAAACAUUUUGCAAAGACUUUUAGUUCCUUGACUUGUUGAACUAAACUAAACCCUUUUUCAAAAAAAAUUAAGAAAACCCCAUAUAUAUAUAAUAUAAAGCUUCAAAGUCUAAUACGUGAAAUUAAUAAAUAAUUUUAUAACGUUGUGGAAAUAUUAAAUUAGGUUAAAUUACAUAAAUUAAUGUAUUCAUUGAAAAAAAAAACUUAAGUUUUCAAAUAUUAAAUAUUUCACUAUUUAAAUUUUGGAGAAAGAACUAAUAAAGCCACGAUGGUUAAUUUUCUAUUAAACAUAUAUAAAUUCUUUUAAAUAUAUAUAUAUAAGUCUAAAGCCCAUUCAUGACUAAUAAUGAGAUAAAUUAACAAAAAUCAUGUAUAGGUUUUAGAUUUUUUUUGGUUAAAUAAUUUAUGAAAAAUAAACCAUCAUCAAACAAGCCUUUUAUAUAUUACCUAAUACAAAGUAUUCUAAAAUUUAAACAUCAAACUAAAUACAAAACUAAGUCGAACAAAAUAUUCUAGAAAUAAACUCUAAAAAUUGCUUCUUAAGGAUUGGAAUAUAAUCUUCUAACUUGUACAAUCAUUAAAAUGUACUCGCAAACUUACAUAGAAAUACAAUGAUGAUAUAAAUGGAGAGUCCAAUUUUUAUUAUUAAGAGAUUCAAUUACUACAAUUACUGUCAUAAGAUGGUUAUAGGGUUUGGUUUUAAUACCAAUAUAUACAUUUGAUGACUCAAUUUUUAUAAUGAAAAGUUGGAUGGUACUGUAAAUUUGUAAGUAUAUCGUAUUUGACUCAAAAUUUUGGUUUUUGUAUUUCACUCAAAAUUUUGUUUAUAAUAUUUAAAUAUAAAUGUUACAUCUCUGAUGUCAUUUGUGAUGAAUCAUGCAAUAUGAUAAAAGAAAAAAAGAAAAGUGAGAUUUGUUUAUAGAGGCAGUCAUGAUCAUCUUAUGUGUUAAAAGUAGAUUAGGUAAACAAUUUUUAUGGAUAAGAAGAGAACUACUUGGCUAUCAAGUUGAGUUAUAAUUAUAACAAAUCAGAUCAAUAAGUGCUUUUUGGAAAAAGAGCAAAAAAGUACUCAAAAUAUUCCCAUGGUUUUUAGUUUUUAAUUAUUUAAUCUUACAGUAUGAUAUUGCCAAGUUGACAAUUUUUCUUUGGUUUCUUCUGUUAUUCUUAUUUAACUUUUUUUUUUUCUUGAAGUGUUUUAAUAGUGUUGUUUGUUUAUAACUUUUUUUUGAUUGAUGUUUAAAUAAUUUUGUAUUUCUAACCACUUCUAAAUUACACAACUUGGAUCAUUAUUUUAAUCGUAUUUGUUACAUUAAUAUUGAAACAUAAAUGGAUGGAGACCUUAAAAACUCUUAUGUUCCUUAAAUUUAAUUCGUUUCAAGGAAAAUUAUUCAAAAAGGAAAAUCUAUAAAAGUAUUUUACGUUUGUUACUUUCUUUAGUUUCGUAGUUUGAUAAUUAUCUCAAACUUUUUACGAUGAGUUAUUUGUUUUUUUAAUUAUUUAGGUUAUUCUUAUUUAAUUUUGUGAGUAUAUAUUAUUAUAUUGAUCACAUUCACUUUAGAUUCACAAUCCAACGAUAAGAGAUAAGGAGACAAUGAUAUUAUGUGUUAUUUGAAUGAUUUGAUAGCAAGUGGAGAAUGUCUUAUUAUUUAGAAUGUUGAAGCAAUAAUCACACGUUCACUGUACCAAAGAGAUAAAGAGGGGAAUGAUAGAGAGCAUGGGAGUAAACAAAAAAGCUGUGGCAAUUUUUUGGAAAUAUAUAUAUAUAUAUAUUCUCAAUUUUCUCUAAAAUACUAAAUUACGUUACUUUUGUGAAGAAUUAAGAAAUGAAAAAUAUUGUAUAACCAAAUAAAGGAUUAAAUUGUUGUAAUUUUGAAGGUUACAUAAAUUCAUUUUUGUUUUUGUUGUAUGUAGAAACUUAAAAUUUGUAGUAAUUUAAGUUUUAAAACUUUAAAAAGCAACAAUUUAAUUUAGUAUUUGUAUUAAUGAACUUUUUUUUUUUAACCAUUUAGUUUAUGUGAUGAAUGCUAGCAAAACUAAUUAAGUAUAAAAUUUGUACUAAGCAUGACUAUGACUAACAAUUUUAGUUUAGUUAAUCAUAUUUUGUCAAGUCUCUAUCACACUUUUACAUUAAAGAUUGAAUACUUACCUUAUUAAAAGUUGAAUGUCCACUAAAUAAUUGUUAUAAAUUUAAAGUUCAAUGAUGGAAUCACUAACUACCAUCUUGAGAAUUAAAUUUGUUUCUUUCAUGAAAAUCAAGGUUUUUGUAAUAAGUUUUUUUUUACAGGAAAGAUGACAGAUUUAUUACAUAUAUAUAAUUGAAUUUUUCAUAAUAUUUAAAAAACAAGCCAUUUUUAUUAGAAAAAAAAAGAGAAAAUUAUCAAAAGUGAUCGAUUUGAAUAAUUAUAAAAGGGGACUCGAAUGAUUAAACUAUUGCCCUUCCUAACACAAAAUAUAUUAUAAAAGUUAUGGGACAAAUUAUACUUUUUUUUUUUAUAAUUCUUGAAGCCAAAGCUAGAAAAUAAUAUGUCAACACCCAUAAUUAUUAAUUUACAUAUAAAGAAACAAUAAUUUAAAUUUUAUUUCGAUGGAAAGGUUUUUUAUUUUAACAAUUUAUUUGAAAUUUUUUAAGACUAUUACAUUAGAUAUUGAAUUAUUUACACAUGUACGACACAUUCGCGUACACACAAAUGCAAAAACAAACAAAAUGUGACACACACACAAUGUUUAUCCUCCUAGCAAGGUGAAGCAACCCAUUAAAAAAAUUCUUAUUACUAAAUAUCAAAAACCUUGUCAAACAUUGUUUUAAUUACAAAUCAAAUAUAAUCGUUGUCAACUACAUUUUGGUAACGGUCAACAUGAUGAAUCUUAUAAAUUGUUGUUGUUCUUAUGUACUAAGCAAUAUGCUUAUGCUAUAUUCUUUACCAUUUAUAAAAAUAUAUACAAACCUAAGUUUCCCCCAACCUUAGGUACCAAUCAACACAAAUUGUUUUUAUAAGUAUAAAAUAACAACCCACGUUGUCUCCAUUUGAAGAAAAGUGUCCAAAAUAAAAAAAUGAUAUGAAUAAUAAUUGGUUUAGGGUUUGAUUCAAUCAAAAUGAUGAAAUUAAACAAAUCAUAAAAUUAUGAUAACAAAUUGAAAACUAUGUCCAACCUAUAGGAUUAAACUAUUCAAAACCAUACAAUCCAAAUUGAAACUAACCAACCCCAUAUGAAACAUUAUUGAAAUUAAAAUAAAAAGUUAACAUAUUGUCUAAACAAUAAAAAAAAAUAUUCUAAAUUUUAUAUGGAUCAUCAUUUAAGCACUAUUGGAUAACUAUUUCAUUUUUAAUUUUCUACGUCUGUUUAAUUAUUUAAAAUAUUAAUAAAUUGAAUAAUAGAACCUUCUAAAAAAAUUGAAUGAUGAUUAAAAAUGUGUAUAAUUUAAAUGUUAUUAUGUUCAAAAUGAAAAUCAUGUGUGAUAAAAACCAAUUUUAUAGAAUAAUAAUAAUAAUAAAUUAUAAAGGUAAGUAUACUUAUCAAAUUCAGCCUACAAAUUUGCAUAUUUAAAAUGAUUGAAAUUAGGUAAAAGCUAAUAUUUUGCUCACAUCAUUGGAAGAUUGCAGUUGCCAAGAUAUAAAUAAAUUUUUGUUGGGAAGCAUGUAAUUAUCUAUCUAUUUAUUUAUUUAUCAACAUGAAGGCAGAUAUUAAAAUAAAAUUUUAAAAUGCCAAGUGUCACUUUUUAAAAAUUUUUAAAAAUAAAAAAUAAAAAAUAAGGCAAAUCCUUUCUCACCACAUGCAUUGGAGUCUCUUUUUUCUUUUUAUUAUUUAUAUUUUUGUUUCUUUUCCUUUGCAUUUGGAUAAGCACAAAGACUUCCCUCUUCCACCUCUUUAUUUAUUUAUUAUUAUUAUUACUUUCUAUUCCCCUUUUUUGCCAUUUUUGACAUUCAACGAUGCUUUAAAUUGUAGUCCUUUUUAUUAUAUUUCAUUUUUACACUUCUAACUCUUACUUACAUUGAAUUGGGUCUUAAACAUAAUUAAAUGUUUUAAUUUUCAAAAUCAUCUAUUCAAUUUUGUUUCUUCUUCGGUACUUUAACUUUUACAAUAAUUUUUUUAAAUAAGAAAUUAUAAAAAGGAAAUAAUUAGAAGACUGUCAAUUCAAAUAAAUUUGAAAUUUAAAAUAGAAAUUAUGGAGGGUAAAAAAAAGUUGAUUUUAUAUGCCAAUAAUUUUGUUGUUUUUAUUUCAUAAAGAAUCUUAAGAAAUAAGUGUACGAUAUUUUCUGAAUGUCUCUCACCAAUUUAUAGAUGCAUUAAUUACUUUGGUCCAACCAAAAUUAUUAACUAUUUAUUUCUACGAUUUUUUUUUUUAACCAUAGAGAAUCAAAAAGCAAAUUUUCAAUUAUUCACAACGGUGUCAAUUUAAAUUUAAAAAAAUCUUUCACUGCAAUUAAUGGUCAACUUUAUCAUUUUCUACAAUUUCUCUUUGAUAAUGCAAAAAUUAAAAACAAAACUCAUCUAUUUUCAAUAAACCGCCAUUUCAAAUUAAAACACCACUUAAAAAUGCCAAAAUAAAUAUUGUUUAGUGAUAAUUGAAACGUGUUGUUGGGAUAUCUUCUACCACAUUUUAUGUAUACAAGAAAAUGCAUUUUUGUCCUUAGUUCGAUUUGUUACAUUUUACUUUUUGGGUUUAAUUUUUAAAAUUUUUUAAUUAAAUACUUUCGUCAUUUGAAGAUUAAUAUCUAUUAAUUAAAUUUAAAACAAUUACAACUGAUUAACUUUCACUGUUUUUCUUCUUCAUUGAAAUUAAUUUUAAAAUUUUGGUAGAACAUAAAACAAAAUCACAUUAAACAUCAAUCUAAUAUAUAUUGAGAUAAGGAAGAAAGGGGGAAGAGAAAAGGAAUGUGGAGAGGGAGAGAGGUAGAGAGGUGGUGUCCUUUCCAAACAUCCAAAAGCCAAAUUAAACUUUUUUAAAGACCGUCUCUUCGUCUAAACCCAAAAAUAAAAAAGGACCUCUAAAACAAAUUUAUUGGACAUUAUUUGUUAGUUCCUCUUAUAAUCUUUCACAUUUUUCAUUUUCAAAAUAAUAACAAAAAUUCCAUUUUAUAAUUAUUAAUUAUUUACAUUUUUUAAAAAUAAACAUAAAUGUAUUCUUGUAAUAAAACUUCACUCUCUAAAAAGCAAUCAAAACUAAAAGUGCUUUUUACUUUUGAAAAUGAGUACAUUGAAUGCUUAAUUUACUAAUAGUCGGUCAAGAAAAUACAUUUUGAUAUAUUAAUAUACUUUUCAUAAUCAUAUUCUCGUAUUAAAAACGAAAAAACAUUUUUUAAUCUAUGAAUUUUUCUUCUAGAGAAUCUCUUUUUUCUUUUACAAAAUUUUAAGUAUACACAAUCUUUUAACUAGAUUAUUAUUUUAACUAUUUGUACGUUUCACCGUUACAUUCCAUUUCCACGACCUCGUUAAUUGUAGUUACAUUCAACCAAUAAACUAUAAUAUAUCAAAUCUCAAAUACAUAAUUUUUUUAGUAUUUCAAAUAUUUAAUUCAAAAUAAUAUUUUAAACGAAAUAAUAUAAAAAGCGGAAAAUAGAAAAAUAAAAUAAAAUAAGAAAGAGUAGUAUUACGAAAACAGCCCUCCAUUUCGUAGAAAUUUCCUUCCCUUCUUUCCAGCUACUAUAAAUACAAACAGAUUAGGGCAGAGAGGAAGAAGAAGAAGAAGACGACGACUAAGAAAGAACAUUUCUCCAAAAAGAAAAAAGAAAAAUAAAAAAAGAAAGGAAAAGGAAAAAAGAACGACGCGGAAAAUUGAGAGAAACAGAGAAAAUCGUUUCGAAAUUUCUCAAUCUGAAAGAAACCAGAAAUCGAAAGCACACGUUCUUCAAUCCGGCGGAGAUGGGGAUUCAGAGAUUAGAACUUUGUUUGGAGCUUCUGCGAAUGGCUAUCAAUUUCGUGGUGGUCGUUGCCGAAUCCGUGGGCGACGUUAUACACCGGGAAUGUCAACCGCAAGCUCUGCCGACGGCGGGCGGUAGAGUUCCGGUUCCUUUUGUGGGCUUUUACCCCUAAAUUCAUCCUCCGCUGCCGUCCGCGGCGGCGAUGUGGCGAUGUUCGUUCAAAGUUAGUGUGAAUUUUGUUUUUUGUUUUGUUUAGUAAUUAAAUGGAGGUAUUAUUGUAAUUGAUCUCUCUAUUGGAAAUAAUCCAAUUAUCUUCUUUUUUUAGUACGAAAUUACUCUCUCUCUCUCUCUUAUCUGGGUUAGUACGAAACUAUCGAAUUGUUAUUUGGUUGUAAUCUGUUGGUUUUAUCGUCAUUUUGACGCCGGACCUGAAAGUCGCGCUUUAACUUCAAUUAUGUUCUUUCUUUCUUUUUCUUUUUCUUUUUUUAAAAAAAGAAAAUGUAUGAACUGGAUGGGUAUUUGUGUAAAUAUUGUAGAAUUUAAGGGACGAGGUAUGGAAUAUAGUUGUUAUCCAAUGGUUUAUGUGGAAUUACAGAAGUUUAUUUUGUCCACUUCCCCGAUUUGAAUUGAGUUCUUUCUUUUCUUUUCUUUUUUUCUUUCUAAAAAGUAAUGCCUUUUAUUUUGUCCACUUUUGUCAAUGAAAAUAGGUAUUUUUAUACAUAUAGUAAAAUUAUCAACUUAUUUGUAAAAUAAAACUAAAUGUAAAAGGUACCGUUAAUUUGUCAUUUUGAUUAAUUUAAAAAUAUUUACGUUAUUUAUCAUUUAAAAUAAACUCUCGAUCAAUAAAAACAUUUACACUUGGUUUAGAUUAAAAUGGACUUUUGUGUAGAACUUAAGAAUAAAAAAUUUUGUUAAAAUGGACUUUUGUGUAGAACUUAAGAAUAAAAAAAUUUAGGAAACAAAAGAUAUAAAUAAGAAAAGUGAAGGACUGAAGUUAUAGUCAUAUUUGAGUCCAAGAUUCAUAUCAAACUCAAGAUCUUGUGCAUCCAUACAAAAUAAAUGUUCUUACUUGAUAUUUUGGAUUCAAUAUAGUCUGCACAAAUAAUUUUGGUCUACCUAGUUCAAUAAUUGUUAGGUGGAAUCUUAAAGAUCCACUUUACAAAUUAACGUUCUUAAUAAUUUAUGAUAUAAACAUAACAGGCAAAAUAUAAAUUACAUUAAUAUAUAGACAUAUUUAAUAUCAUAUAUAUAUAUAUAUAUAUAUAUAUAAUUCCAUGAUUCUCAAAUCCUACAAGACAAUUUUUAUUUUCAUUUUCUUGAAAAAUCAAAACUUCAAAUUUAUUUUUAAAAAUACAGCAUGGAUUAAGAUAUACGUAUUGAUAUGAUAUAUGAUUUAAUGAAUGCUGCUAGCUAUACUAUACUAACUAACACAGGGAGUGUAUAGUUAUUAAAUCAAGAAAAUCAUGGAUACGAUUGAUGUGUUGGUUUUUAAAAUGCAUGUAAUUAAUUAAAUAAUUUUCUUUAGUCAUUGUCCAAGAUCGAGACACACAAUUGCUUAUAAUUGUAUUGCCCGAGAAACUUGUUUUGUUUCUUUUUUUCUUUUACGAGACUAUAUGAGAGGCAUUCUUCUUCGAUAAAAGAGAGAUCACAAAACAUUUAUGAGCAUGUGUGCUUAAUUAAUUGAAGUUUUUUUAAAAAUAAAUUUCUGAAUUAGUCAUAUAAAUUAUUAUUAUAUAAUAUACUAUUAUCUUCAAAUCUUCAAUACAUUUUAAUUUUAAACAGUAUCAAGAGUUUUUUCUAGUAUGGAGGUAAUAAGUUGUACAAAUAAAAAUACAAGAAUAAACAAUAGUGAGUGUUAUGGUAUGCAUUCCCAAAACCAUUAAUGUAUAUGUUUUUUUUAAUAUUUAAGACGAUGGAUGAUCAAGAUCUUGUCGUUCAGUUUGAAGAUUGUGAUUAGUUACAAAUUAAUAUUUACAUCCAAGUUGAUAUACUUUUACAAAAAAAGUUAUUAGAGAUUUGAAGGAAGAAAACAAAAACAAUAAUGCUACCCACAUGACUCACACCUAUCAUAAAAUACUGCAUAUUAAAUUUUUAAUUCAACAAAACCUUCUAAUUUCAUGAUUCUCAAAUCCCACAAAACCCACUUUCUAAACUCUAUUUUAACACAUGCUUCUUCCCUACAAAAAAAAAAAUUGCUUUUCUUUUUUAAUUAGCGAUUAUAUUCUUAUAAUGGAUCGGUGUGGAUUCUCGAUUGAAAUGUUUGUUGAAAAUUACUAGUAUGAGUGUUCUUUAUUGGUGAUGUUAGUUAGAUGUGUAAACAACCACGUCGAUUCAAAAAACGAUCAAAUUUUAUAAUACAUAAGUAUAUAUAUAUAUAUAUAUGUGUGUGUUAAGAAAAACUUAAAUAUUUUGUCAAGUAUGAUCUUUGGAUUGUUUCAAAAAGAAAAGCGAUGAAGAUUUAUGUAAAAAAAUAGACAAUACCAUAGAGAGAUAAGUGUCAUGUUGUCAUUAUCACUAUUAUCCAUCAACCAGCAUGGAUACCUUGGUUUGGAGUUUUAUUUACAUUGAUGUGUGUGUAAUAUUCUAAUCUUUUGUAAGCUUCCAUUAUUAUUGUUGUCCUUCAAUUAUUGUAUAAGUAGAAUGAAAGACAUGCUUCUUAUUUCUUUUCUUUCAUUAAAAUACAAAUUUUGUAAUUCCUAUGAUUUUAUAAGUUUCAAAUAAUUAGUUAGUUCAAAAGAAUUGAAGCUUGAAGUUUGAAGUUAAUUUUAAUUUAAUUGGUUUGAUUUUAAGUUUCAAUUCAAUUUAAAUGAGUCUCUCAACGUAGUUUAGUAGAUAUCCACAAAGUAAUUAGACAGUUUAUAUACAUUUAUAGAUGCCAGUUAUGCUUUUUAAAUGAGGGUUAUAAUAUAUAUAAAUUUAUAAGUAUAUUAUAUCAUUGCAACAACAAAUAAUUAAUUAAAGGCAGCCAAUAAACUACUUGUUAAGUGAGAAUUAAAGGAAAGGAGAUGUGGGAUUGAUGAGUUAAAAAGGGUAAUUAAGGUCUAGGUUGAGCAAGGAGUUGAAGAUGAGCACACAACUGGAAAGGCUUAGACAUCAUCACCACAUGAUCUGAUCCUUCUAUCUCCACCACAUGAUCAGGUGGGUUGUUCUCAAUCAUCCACCUUUGAAAUUCUAUAUUACUAACCAAAUCCAUUUCUGACACCACGAAUACUCGCUUGACGGAACCGUAAUUUCUCUCCGAUAGCUUCAAUACAUCGGACAUGUCUUUUUCGGUGAACAAUGGCACUGCUCUCAUCAACAACGUCGCCAGUGUUAAAUCCUAUAUAGGAGCACAUAUUAUUGCUAAUAUAUAAUUCAAUUACUUCAAUCAACCCCAAUAUAUAAUUAAUACUUACCUCAGCUGGGCUGCGCUGAUAAACUUUGGAAGCCAAAAAGCGCGACCCAAAGAGGAAGGCAGUGGGAGGCCGAUUCCGGCCAUCGCCGUAGGAGUAAACGCUAUCCAUCAUUGAUUCAUUCCUCUCAAAUACCUUCGAAUAAAUGGUCGAUAUGUUCAGAGCUGGCCCAGGCAUCGUAGCGGUGACGAAAACGGCGGCGGAAAUCUUCGUCGGGAAGUCCUCCAUGGCUUUCGACACGACCAAUCCGCCCAGGCUAUGCCCGACGAGGAUCACCUUUUGGUGCUGAGGGAGAGCUGACAUGAAGUCAGUCAGAGGCUGGAAGUACUGGGAAAUGGAUCGGACAGAGUCCGGAUUUCGAUGGUCGAUUCCGGAGGCGGCCAAGUCGAGGGCGGUGACGCGGUGACCGGAGGAUUGGAGGAGAGGGAGGAGUUUAAACCAGGACCAUGCGCCAUGGCAGGAUCCGUGGAUAAAGACAAAGUGUUUGUGAGAAGUAUUAUCGGAGAGUGAGAGUUGGAAGAAGAGGGACAGGAGAAGUAGUGGUAAGAGGUAGUUGUUGUUCUUGAUCUGCUUCUCCAUUUUGAUUAUUGACCUGAAAUUAGUACUCUUUGGAAACUUUGGGCACGCAUCCCACAAGAAAGCUACUGAUCAAAAUUAAAUUAAAUUGACAAAUUGAAGCCAUUGACCUAAUUAAGCAAAUUUAAGACUCUUCGAUAAUUUUUUUUUUUUUUUUGUCUAUAUAGUUUGAAUUUGGAUUGUGAACUUUGAACACUCUAGAAAGUGUAGUUUGUGAUUUUUUUUUUUAUUUUUACCAAUACAUGCAUUUAGGAAACUACUUCUAUCUAAAAGAUGAAAUGUUUGAUUCUUUCUUUUCUAUAUAUCUAAAAAAAAAUAUUCUACAAAGAUAAUAAUCUCAAUCUACCCCUCAAACUUAGCAUAUAUAAAUUAUACAAAUGCCCAAGACCUUGACAUUUAUUACUUCUGGUGUCAUUAUUCAACAAAUUAUAUUUUCAAUAACCAAGCUUAUACCAAACAAACCCCUCUAAAUGUAAUACAUAGUAGCAUGAAGAAAGGAAAUAUUUAAGCUAAUUGGGGUUAGCUGGUGAGAUCUUGAAAUCAGAGAUUUGAAUGUUGUCAACAUUAAGCUUCUUGAAAUUGCUGCGUUUUCUAUUGGCGAGGAACUUCCCAAAAGAGUAAGGUUUGUAUUUGGGAGGGUUUUGGGGACCAAUAAGCUCUUCCAGAGGUUCAACAAUGGUGGAAUGAGAUGGGUAAAAGAAGAAAGCAAUGGAAUAUCUAUCCCUUUUGCUGUUUACAGUAGCCCUAUGCUCCACACUCUCAUACUUCUCAUUGCUCCAAACCUAUCAAGAGUAGAGUGGUUUUAAAAAUUUUAAUUAAAAGAAAGAAAAAAAACGAAAAUUGAUUUGUAAUAUAUUUAUGUGUGUUACGUUUGAUAAAAGUGCUUCGAUCGUUAUUUAGUAAUGGGUACGUACCUGAAUAAUAUCUCCAACAUCGACCGCAUAAGAAUCAGGUACAGGUUUGACUUGAAUCCACUCUCCAUCUUUCUUCCUUUUCACUUCCAGUCCUCCAAUGUCGUCUUGGGCGAGCAGCGUCAGGACACCUGGGUCCUUGUGGCGGCCAACUCCCAGAGCUAGCUCCGGUGAUGGGCACAAUGGAUAGUGAUUCAGUCUCACAGAACUUGUUUGACCUGCUUUAAAAUACUCUCCAAACCUUUUUGCCGGCAAUCCCAAGCUAGUGGCGAUUAGUUCCAUCAAUUUGUGCCCAAGUUUCUCCAAUUCUUCAACAUAUCCUUCGCAAAUCUCUCUGCUCAUUCUCCAAAUUGAUGAUUAACUUUGGGGAAUUGCGUUAAAUUUUUAUUUUGACUAAAUAAAUAUGAUAUCGUUAACUAAAAAUAAAAUAUAUGGACAUAUUCAAAAAAAAAAAUUGUUAGUUUACUAAAUAUAUUUGAAAAUCAAUCCAAUUCUCCGUAUAAUAACUUAUUGAACAAAAUAAUUGGAUAGUGAGAUGACCUGAAUUCCGGUGGGUAUUCCGGCCAUUGAUUAGUCCACUGAGUCAACUCGUCAUCAUCAGACUCCGGCGACGCCGGAACAAUGGUGGGAUCCUCCACCAUGAAAUCAAAGACCUCCUUCCAAUCUCUGACAUUCUUGGUCAGCUCCGUAUCAAAAUAGCCAGUCACCAACCCUUGGCUCCUCCUCACUUUCCUCUUCUCCUCCAAACUUUGGCCGAAAAAUUCCCGGGCAGCGGCCUCUAUACGGUGCCGCUUCUCGGGAGGGACGCCGUGGUUAACCACCAGAAAGAAUCCCCACUCCGUGCAAGCAGAGGCGAUUUGGUGGACCAAAUCGUGGGGGACAUCGCUGCCGGGUAGUGAGUGGUUGAAGAUUGGAGAGAGGUCGAUGGUGGGGAUUCGAUCAGCAUGGGAGAGUGCGAGUUUGGGGCGGUGCUCGGGAGCUUGGAUGAAAGCCUGAUCAAACUCAUGAAGAUGUCCCAUAUUGGGAGAUGGAAUUUAAUUUGAAGAAGAAGAUAUUGGGGGGACUAAAUCUUUAAUUUGUAAACGUUAAGGGGUUAUUUAGUUGAAUGUUUUAUAGAUACCGGUGAAUAAAGAAGGCUUACGUAUACCGAACAAUAAGAUAUCAAUGUAUUUAAUUGUGCACUGCAAAUACUAUCAGGAUCUCAUUAACAAAAAUUAUGUAUAUAUUUAAUAAUUAAAUUAAGCACAACAAACUUACCUAAUUUUAGUAUUAAUUAAUCAAAAAAUAAAUAUCAUUCAAUGUAUUCAUAAAUUUUAGUUAAUUAAAAGUUAUAUUCUAAUUUUAAAUAUAAAUAUUUGAAAAUGACUAAUUUUUAGAGACAUUUUAAAGUAUAACAAAAUUUUAGAUCUAUCAUUUUAUCGAUAUUAGCAUUACUGAUAUAGACUAUUUUUUUGAGUAAUAUCGUCAUUGAUGCAAUUUGAAAUUUUGUUAUACUUUGUAAAUAUUUUUAACACAACUUUGUCAUUUAUAAUAAUUUUUGUAAUUUAUAAUUAAAAUUAUCAUUUAAUAUAUCUAAUAAAUUCAUAUUAAUUGUUAUUUUGAUAUUUAGUUUUUUAAUAUAAAUUCAUUAUUAGUAAUUGUCAAUUUAAUUAAUUAGUUAAAGAGGAAUUGUGUUAUUAAUAGCAAAAUAUUGAAAUUAUUAACAAAAUAUAUUUCAUACAUAUACAUAGAUGCCACUUGAGCUUUUUAAAUGAAGAAAUUUGAACCCAAAAUCCUUUAAUCCUAAUGUAAAUGUAAGUUGUGGGUUAUAAAAUAUAUCAAUUUAUAACCACAAUGGGUUGGCCCUAGUGGUAAAAAGCAUUUAACACCUAAAUGUUGUAGGGUAGUUCUAAGCUAGAACUUUAUACUCUAGGUUGAAGAUCUCCAUUCUUUUUCUAUCUUCAAGGUUCCUUUUUUUCUCAUAAAUGCACAUCCCGGAUCAUCAAGCAUUUCUAAUGAAAUUAGAUUUAUUUUGAGUUUUGGAACAGUCUAACAUCUCUCAAUAGAACCUCUUGUUGCUUUCUGUGAGAUUAAUAGUAUUGAGCCUCUUCCAAUGAUUUCACACUCAUUAUUGUUAUUAUCCAUGUAAGCCGACUCUUCUUGGAAGUCAUAUGGUAGCUAGGUACAACCUGAGUUUAAAACCCACCCUCUCUCCUCGGUUUCAAUUUUCAUGACCUUUUUAUUAGCAGCAACAAGUACCUCAAUAUAUUCAUAAGGCUCUUAUCCAACAUUCCCUCGAUAUCUUUCAUGUUCUCUUAACCUCCUUGAGUCAUCUAUGUGCCUAAUUGACUCUUCUCUUCCAUAUGGCUUAAAUUUUCGACUAUCAUCUCUUCUAUAGUGUCUUCCUUUUUCUGGGUAAUUUUUCUUAAAAUGUCAUUUUUUGUGACAGAUAGAACACUUCAAGAUGAGUCUAUCUCUCUAAUUUUAUGGCUUGUAUUAAAAUAAUUUUUCUUGAUAGACAGUGAUAAAAACAUAUCAGUGGCUAUCAUUGAUAGAAUCCACAAUUUUGAUAUAGCUUGUAAAUAUUUUAAUUUAUUUUGCUAUUUUAAAACUUUUUCCUAACUAAUUUGUAAAUAUAGAACCAAAUAUAUUGAAUUGGUUAAGUUAAAUAUUUUGGAUUGUGUUUAAAAGAAUCCACGAAGAACUUAUGUAAUUAGUAUUACCUCCCAUCUAAAAGAUGAUAAUUUGUAAAUAUAGAACCAAAUAUAUUGAAUUGGUUAAGUUAAAUAUUUUGGAUUGUGUUUAAAAGAAUCCACGAAGAACUUAUGUAAUUAGUAUUACCUCCCAUCUAAAAGAUGAGAGGUUUGAUUCUCGAUCUUUAAUUUUCAUAGUUGUUAUACUAAAAAAAGAUUUCCAUACAAAAAAAACAAUAAUCUCAAUUUAAACCUCAAACUAAGCAUAUAAAUUAUACAAAAUGACGAACUUGGCAUUUACUACUCAGGCUGUCAUUAUUCAACUGAUUAUGUUUUCAAUAGCCAAGCUUAUACCAAACAUAUAGUAGCAUGAAGGAAGGAAGCAUUUAAGGUAAUUUGGGUUAGUUGGUGAUCUUGAAAUCAGAGAUUUGAACGUUGUCGACAUUAAGCUUCUUGAAAUUGCUGCGUUUUCUAUUGGCGAGGAACUUCCCAAAAGAGUAAGGUUUGUAUUUGGGAGGGUUUUGGGGACCAAUAAGCUCUUCCAGAGGCUCAACAAUGGUGGAAUGAGAUGGAUAAAAGAAGAAAGCAAUUGAAUAUCUAUCCCUUUUGCUGUUUACCGUAGCCCUAUGCUCCACACUCUCAUAUUUCUCAUUGCUCCAAACCUAUGAAGAGUAGAGUGGUUUUAAAAAAUUUAAUUAAAAGAAGAAAAAAAAACACAUUUAUUGAUUUUGUAAUAUAAAGAUAUAUGUUUGAUAAUGAAGUGGUUUUUGGCAUGAUUAUUUAGUCGUAAUGGCCCGGCUACGUACCUCAGUAAUAUCUCCAACAUUGACCACAUAAGAAUCAGGUACAGGUUUGAGUUGAAUCCACUCUCCAUCUCUCUUUCUUUUCACUUCCAGUCCUCCAACGUGGUCUUGGGCGAGCACCGUCAAGACACCGGGGUCCUUGUGGUGGCCAACUCCCAGAGCUAGCUCCGGUGAUGGGCACAAUGGAUAGUGAUUCAGUCUCACAGAGCUUGUUUGCCCUUUAAAAUACUCUCCAAACCUUUUUGCCGGUAAUUCCAAGCUACUGGCGAUUAGCUCCAUCAAUUUGUGCCCGAGUUUCUCCAAUUCUUCAACAUAUCCUUCGCAAAUCUCUCUGCUCAAUCAUCUCAAUCUCCAAAUUAAUUCAUAAUUAACUUUGCUCCAUUUUAGUAUGUUAUACAACAAAUUUGUGAUUGUGAUUGUGCAGUUCUUGUUGUACCCAGACUAAAAAGGAUCAUGUGACAAUUUAUUUUGUUUUGUUUUGUUCUGUUUAAAAAGGAUUAAAUUAUUGCUAUUUUGUUUGUAAAAAGAGAUUGCUUAAUCAUUUUUGAAAACUAAUUAAUUAAUGUCCCUUGAUUAGAGUGACUACUCCACAACAACUUGGGGUUGCAUUGUUGAAGAAUGUGCAACUCCAUCCAUAUCCUAAUCAUAAUUCUUUUUUCCUCUAUUAGAAUGACCAAGUGGUUCGUGAUACUCAAUUUUAUUUUCUUGAUUUCCAGAACAAUUUGAAAACAAACCACUAUUUAACAACAUAAUAGGACAGUGUGAGAUGUACCUGAAUUCCGGUGGGUAUUCCGGCCAUUGAUUGAUCAACUGAGUCAACUCAGUCUCAUCAGGAUCGGACGAUGCCGGAAUGAGGGUCGGAUCCUCCACCACGAAAUCGAAGACCUCCUUCCAAUCUCUGACAUUCUUGGUCAGCUCCAUAUCAAAAUAGCCGGUCGCCACCCCUUCAUUUCUCCUCACUUUCCUCUUCUCCUCCAAACUCUGCCCAAAAAACUCCCGGGCAGCGGCUUCCAUUCGACGCCGCUUCUCGGGAGGGACACCGUGGUUGACCACCAGAAAGAAUCCCCACUCCGUACAAGCAGAGGCGAUUUGCUGGACCAAAUCGUGGGGGAAUUCGCUGCCGGCCGGUGGUGAGUCGUUGAAGAUUGGAGAGAGGUCGAUGGUGGGGAUUCCGUCAGCUUGGGAGACGGCGAGCUUGGGACGGUGGUCGGGGGCUUGGAUGAAAACCUGAUCAAACUCCUGAAGAUGUCCCAUAUUGGGAGAUGGAAUUUAAUUUGAGGAAGAAGAAGAAGAUAUUGAGGGAAUGUAUAUUAAUGUGAAGUACUUUUGUGUUUGCAAAUUGGAAAAAAAUGGUAAGAGAUAUAUAUAUAAUAGAGAGUGUAAUAUGUUUGGAUUGAAGGAUUAAAAUAUUCUAUAUUACCAUAAUUCUAAAUUUUAGUGAAUUACUCCUUCUCCUUUAGCUUCAAUUUCAAUGCAUCAUCUAGUCAUUAACGGAUAUGUUUUUGGUAAUACACAGUCUCUAAAAACUAAAACUAAAAAACAAGACUUGUAUUCUAUUCUAUUUUUAUGUUUUCAAGUAUAUAUACUAUUGGUACCAUUAGUUUUUACAAUAUUUUCAAGGUGACUUAACACUAAUAUAUAUUAGCUAGGACGACUAAGAGUGUGUUUGUGGUUUUGAAGGGUUUAAUUGGGUUGGAUUUGAAGGAGUUUUUAGAUCCUUUCAAUUAUUUGGCCACUUACUUUUCAUUCUCAAAUAAUUAAUAAUAUAAAAGUUAUUUGAUGAUGCCAUAUUUCAUGGGAGAGGGGGGAAUGAAUGUGGAUGGGAAUAUGGAGGAUGUGAUGUUUUGAUUAUUGUGCCAAACAAUUCUCUUAUAAAUAAAUAAUAGAUAAUGCUAAACUAUAUGCAAUUUUUAAAAUAAAAUUAUCUUCAACCCCACCAUUUAUUCCAUUUUAUCCCACAUUAAAUUAUUUGAUUAUAAUUUAAUUUUGAUAUAUAUAAACAAACAAACUGUAUACACUCUAUAAAAAAAAUUACUACUUAAUAUAUCUAAUAAAUUAAUAAAUUAAUAGUGUUAUUUACAAUAAUUUUGUGAUUUAUAAUUAAAAUUACUACUUAAUAUAUCUAAUAAAUUCAUAUUAAUUGUUAUUUUGAUACUUAACUUUUAAAUGUAAAUUUAGUAUUAGUAAUUAUCAAUUUAAUUAAUUAAUAAAAGAGGAAUUGUUAGUAAAAAAAUAAAACAAGUUGGAUAAAUAAUUAUAUUUUAAUAAGCAAAAUAUGAGGCAAAAUUUUAAGAACAAAGAGAGAAAAAUAUGAAUAUGGUGAUGAUAAAGAAGAGUAAAAGGAUUUGUAAAUUUUUUUAAUAACUAUGAUAAAGAAAAGGUUUGUUAGAAGCAAACAAGCAACCACACACAGUUGACAGUACAUAAUACAUAUUUAUCAUUCAACGAGGUUUCUGAGCAAGCCCCCCGCCCUUAAAGCAAACAGCCUCUAAAGAGAGUAAGCAUGAAGCGUGACUCUCGUGUCUCUAGUUGGUGAUCUUGAAAUCAGAGAUUUGAAUGUUGUCAGUAUUAAGUUUCUUGAAGUUGCUGCGUUGUCUAUUGGUAAGAAACUUUCCAUAAGAGUAAGAUUUGUAUUUGGGAGGGUUUUGGGAAUCAACCAGCUCUUUCAAAGGCUCAACGAUGGUGGAAUGAGAUGGGUUGAAGAAGAAAGGAAUGGAAUAUCUAUCCUUUUCGCUGUUGACCAUAACUCUAUGCUCCACACUCUCAUACUUCUCAUUGCUCCAAACCUGGUAUUAGUAUAAAAAGUUUGCUUUUAGAAUAAUAUUGUUUGUUUGUACAUGCAAGUGCUUUAAUUUAAUUUAGAAAAACUAAAUCUGAUAGCUAGCUAGGUAACACAUGAAUUGCUGCUAUAUGUGUACCUGAGUAAUCUCUCCAAUAUUCACAACGAAAGAAUCGGGUACGGGUUUGACCCGUAUCCACUCUCCAUCUCUCUUCCUUUUCACUUCCAGUCCUCCAACAUCGUCUUGGGCGAGCACCGUUAGGACGCCGGGGUCCUUGUGGCGCCCAACCCCGAGAGUCAACUCCGGUGAUGGGCAGGGGGGAUAGUGAUUGAUUCUCAAAAAACUGGUUUGCUGUUUGAAAUAGUGUUGAAACCUUUUUGCGGACAAUCCCAAGCUAAGGGCGAGUAGUUCCAUCAAUUUGUGUCCAAGUUUCUCUAAUUCUUCAACAUAUUCCUUGCAACUCUCCCUGCUCUCAAUAACAAUGUCAAUCUUCAAAUACAUAGGUUAAAUUAUAAAAUCUCUCUCCAUAAAAUCCACUUCCAUAUAUAUGUGCGAUAUCUAAUUAAUAAUUCAAACUUUUUUUUUUUUAAAGUUUAGUUUUUAAAAUAAUAUAGAUUUUGAAAUCAAAUAAUUAUAUUAGAAGCAUAAAUAUUAGAUAAUUAAUUACCUUAAUUAAUUAAAUACCAAGGUACCAACUAUUAUUAUUCCACAAAGAAAGUCCCAUAAUUAAGUUAUUACAAAAAGAAAAUUAAUUUAAAAUAAACCAGGUGAAGGUGAAAAAACUUGAACUUUUAACAUUUUAAUAUACUGAACAAUAAUAAUCAUAGUGUGCAAUAAUUUAAAAGAAAAAGUUACAUUGUUUAUUGAUUUAUUUUUGUUAUUGUUGUAGUUGAACUAAUUAAGUGUUUAAUUAGAAGCUAAGCCCCCACCCCUCACUUUAGUUGAGUCUUUAAUUACUUUUAAAUUUGUUUACUACUUUUGAUAACUAGGAAAUUGUUAUUAUAGCCUAAUCAUACACUAUACUUCCAAACUUUGUAUUUUAUAUAUAAAUUAAAAAAUAUAUAUAUAUCUUUGAAUUUCUAGGAGUUUAAAAUUACCCUUUAAUUUGACAAAAAAAUAAUAUUAUUUAUCGAUAACUUUACUAUUAGUUCUGGAUAAUAAUAUUUUGUUUUAAUUAAAAUGUAUCUCCCCUUUCAAAAAGUUGCAAAUAUACUCUAUAAUAAAAAAGAAAAUAAUAAAAAAAACUUUUAUGUUAGUUAGCAUAUAAACUCAAACAAUUCAUACUUAUUCCAAAAUAGAAACAAAUAUUUGAAGUUAAAUCAUAGAAUCCGAGAAUCUCUUAAAAUUCAAAAUUCAAAAUUCAAAAUCUCUCCUCAAAAGUUACAAAAACAAUAAAUAGUGAAAUACAAAAUGAAUAUAUUUGUCUAUUAAAGCAUUUAACUACUAACAUACAAAAAGUCAUAAAAAUAUUUAAGUUGUAAGGUCUUUUUCGUAGUUUUAUUAUUCUAUUUGUUUAUGUUAUAAUUCAUAUAUCUGAAUUGAAUGGACAAAUUUUUUUAUGAGAUAAACAAACGUGAGAAAAGGAGUGAAAAAUCAAAAAAAGAAAAUAGAGAAGUGUGUUGGGGAGAGAGAGAGAGAGAGAGAGGAGGUUGAGGAGGUAGGUGAUGGGUUUAGAUCAAUGAUAAAGACCAUUGUUUGUUUAUUUGUUUAUAAAAAUUGAAAGCAUAUACUUUUAAAAAUGGGAACCAAAUCGAUAUCUAAUAAUAUUUAUUGGUUGAUAGCCACUUUGGAUUUUGUAGUUUUUCUUAGGACUUCACAUUCUUCUUCUUCUUCUUCUUCUUUUUUUCAUUUUGAAAUUUAAUAUAAUUUGUUUAUACGGUUGAUUUUAAUAAUUUGACAUUUUUUGUAUUUAGUUUUUGAAGAUGAAAAUUUUGAAUUAUCAUUUUAGCUAAGAUUAAACAAAUUGGACACUAAGUAACACGUACCUGAAUUCCGGUGGGUAUUCCGGCCAUUGAUUAGUCCACUGAGUCAACUCCUCAUCAUCAGACUCGGGCGACGCCGGAACAAUUGUGGGAUCCUCCACCACGAGAUCAAACACCUCCUUCCAAUCUCUGACGUUCUUGGUCAGCUCCGAAUCAAAGUAGCCCGUCACCAACCCUUCGCUUCUCCUCACUUUCCUCUUCUCUUCCAAACUUUGGCCGAAAAAUUCCCGGGCAGCGGCCUCUAUACGGUGCCGCUUCUCGGGAGGGACGCCGUGGUUAACCACCAGAAAGAAUCCCCACUCCGUGCAAGCAGAGGCAAUUUGGUGGACCAAAUCGUGGGGGAAAUCGCUGCCGGGUAGUGAGUUGAAGAUUGGAGAGAGAUCGAUGGUGGGGAUUCCAUCAGCAUGGGAGAGUGCGAGUUUGGGGCGGUGCUCCGGGGCUUGGAUGAAAUCCUCCAGAUCGCCCAUAUUGGGAGAUGGAAUUUAAUUUGAAGAAGAAGAUUUUGGGAGAAUAUACUAAAGUUAAUAAUAAUGUGAAGUUUUGUAAGACAAAGACAAAGUGAGUUCGAAAAUAAAUAAAGGUUUCCUUCCUUAGCUUCAAUUUUAAUGCAUCAUCUAGUCAUGAUCGUGACAAUAGUAUAUUAUUUAAAGGAUGACACACAAAGGUCUUUUUGGUAAUACAAUAAUCUAAAAACUAAAAACUAAAAAACCAAUGCUUCUAUUUUAUUUUAUUUUAUGUUUUCAAAUAUAUUACACUAUUUGGUACCAUUAGUUUUUCAUUUAGUUUUACAAUCUUUUCAAAGUAGACAUAUAUACACUACUUCAACUAAACAUUAAUAUAUUUAUUAGCUAGGACUAAGAGUGAUCUUCUCGUGGUUUUUCGGUUGAAUUGUGUAUUAACUUUUUUUUAGAACCCAUCCAAUUAUUUGGCCACUUAGUUUUCAUUUUCAAUUUAAUAAUAUAAAUUACUUAUUAUGUCAGUCGAGAGAAUUCCUAUGUGUGAUGUAAAAUGAUGUCAUUUUACUUCAUUUGAUAACAUUAGUAGAGAUAAAAGGAGAAAUCUUGUAGACGACAAUCACAAAUAUUACAGAUCAUCACGGACAAAAGUGGAAGAUGAAGUAGAAGAAGAAAAAGCAGCAUAGUCUUGAGCAAUGGUGCCGAGAAGUUGAGCAAGUUCAAGAGGCUUUGAAGUCAUGACCAUGUGAUCUGAUCCAUGAACCUCCUCCACACGAUCAGGCUUAUUUAAAAGGAGCAUAGCCCAAACCAUAAACUUUGAUGUCAUUUUGUCAUUUUGUGAUAUAAUGAAAGCCCUCUUCACAGACCCAUAAUUCUCUUUACUUAGUCUUAGCUCCUUCAUUGACUCCAACAAACCAAACAUUGCUUGAGGCCUCACCAAUGUUCUUGCCAAUGUCAAAUCCUGUAUUAAUAUAAUUGAUUACCAAACAUACGUAUAUAAUACAUAUAUUUGUCAUUACGUAUAUACUAUAUUAAAUAAUGAUAUAUGAUAUGUUCAAGAGAUCAUAUGCAUCCGUGUAUAACUUGAAUAUGUUGAUGACAAAAUAACUUGCUACUCAUUUGCCAAAAUGUUACCCUUUUGUGUUUUGUUUUCUUCUAGAAAAUGGAAAUUAUGUCUCUAGUUUCAAAUAUAACAUUUGUAUUUGUUAUAAACGAUAGACUAAAAUGGACAUCUAUCACUUUAGCAUUAUUAAUAAAUGUAUUUAAUCUAUUGAAUAGUCUCUAUUUGUAAAUAAUUUUAACGGUUUAGUUAUAUUUAAAAUAAUGCCUCCUACAAAAUAUCAAAUCAUUUAAUUUAUCACAGAAAUUGAACUCUUUGAUAUAUAUACAAUUCUUGUAAAAUAUAUUUAUGAUAGAUAUUAAUUCUCACUCCAUCGUAUAUGUCCUUCUUCGCUUCUAACCUAAUUAAUUGAUUAUAAUUAUGUUUGAGUAAAUUAAAAGAGAGGAUAUAUUUACAAACCUGAGGUGGAGAUAGUGGGAAAAGCUUGGUUUCUAAUUCUUCUUCUGAAAACAUGAAAAGACGUGGUGGCUUCUUUGAAACCUCGGAUUUGGUAUCAUCCCCUUUGUGAAAAGCCUUGUACAUUCCAAGUGUUGUCUUCUAAUUAAUUUUGUUUAUGCAUAUCAAAAGAAAAAAGAAAAAACUUUAAUUAGUAUACUUAUAUUACAUAAAUAGUUUAAUAAUUUGAAGGAAUUAAUUUGGGAUGUAGAAUUUAAACCUGUUCCUCGAUGGAUUGAAACCCGAUGAUUGGGCCAGGCAUGGCUGCAGUCACAAAAAUUGCAACAGAGAUUUUCUCAGGGAAUCUCUCCAUGGCCAUCGAGAUUCCGAGGCCCCCUAGGCUGUGUCCGACGAGAACGAUCUUGUCGUCGGCUUGUAGGGCUUCCGUGAAGUUCAGCAAUGGCUGGAAGUAGUCAGUAAGUGAUGUCAAUGACUCUGGCUGGGUUGGGUCGAUCCCGGCAGCAGCCAUGUCGACUGCGGUGACUUUGUGACCAGCCGUUUGUAGGAAGGUUGUGACCUGGUACCAAGACCAGGCGCCGAGGCAGGCACCAUGGACGAGCACAAAGUGUGAUUUGUUUGACUGGGAGUCGUGGCCGUCAUUGUCGUGGUGGCCGUGGUGGAAGAGAAAAGAGGUUUGUGUUUGGGUAGAGAAAGAGAGGAAAAUUAGAAGGAAAAAUGGUAGCAGAAGUUUUUGCAUUUUAAACUUUUUUUGUUGUAGGAAAAAUGCAUGCAAGGAAGAGUAGUAUAUUCAUAUUGUGCCCAUCAUAUCAUACUAUAUUUAUAAUAUAAAAAGAGAUAUAAUAGGACCCAAAUAUUUGUUUUUUAUGUUUAAAUACUAUUUAUAAUGUUUGUUUUCCUCUAUAUUUUCAACUUUUGUCCAAUUCUAUAUAUCAUCUUUCAAAAAUAUAUCAUUUUGGUUGCUUUUGUUUUUGUUUACACUUGUCUUAGGGGCCAAAGAGAGUUUUUUUAUUAUUAUUAUGGUUUUUGAAAGGUUAAAAAUUUUCAGAAAUCAAUUUUAUAAAAUCAAUUGUAUUUCAAUCUCUUUUUUCAGCUAGAGUAAGUACUACUCUAACUAUCACUUCCAAACCCAUCUUAACUAGUUUAUAAAACUUUUGUUAAAAAAAUUUAAGCUUAAAAACAAAGUAGGUUCCAAAAAUUAAAGUAAAAAAAAAGGUUUAGGGUUAUUUAAACUCUAUUUUGUAAAUCUUUCAAAUUAAACCCUAUGUUGAGGGGUGGAAUACUUCAAAAUAUUUUUAAAAGGACUUUUUUGUCUCAUCUGUCAACCUCUACAUCGUUUUCCAUUUUGUAAUGAUAAUAAGAAGAAGAGGUAUUAGGGUUUUAUACAGUUAAAUAAUUUGUGUGUUAUAUUUAUAAAAAUUAAAUUUAUAAAAAACGUGUUUUUUGUUUCUUUCUAUAGAUGAGGAUGAGAUUUGGUAAGAUAAGCGGUGAACAUUGAUUGUGAGAUAUUUUUGUUGGAGGAGAGAAAGAUUAGACGUUACAAACUUACAGCCACUGAAUUAUAAAGACAAAAUGGUCCCUAAAUGCAUUAAUAAAUAAAUAGCAAUACAGGCAUUAAUGUGUGAUGACAUUAUUGAUGCAGCCUGGCCCUGAAAUGAUGAAUUUGGAUGUUUUCCACUUCUUGGUUCUCGUUACCGUGGCUCCUCGAAGCAAUAAACUUUCCGAAGUUGUAUUCUCUGUAUUUUGGUGGGUUUUGCUCAUCCACAACCUCCUCCAAUGGCUUCACCAUCAUAUGGUGAGCUGGAAAGAAGAAAAAUGGAAACGAAUACCUUUCUUUCUCACUAUUCACCACCACUCUGUGCUCCACACUUUCAUAUUUGUCAUUGCUCCAAACCUUCACAUGCAAAAACCAUGAACUUAAGAUAUGAUGCUUCAUCUUCACUCAAAAAAGAAAAAUAAUAAAUUCCAUAACUAGAGAUAAUGCUUCAUCUCCUCAACCACAAAAAUCUAUCUACCACACGAUUGUAUAAGCUUAUCUAUAUAUGAAGCCACUUUUUAAGCACUUGGAUUCACACAGUCCUUUAUGGUUCCAAAAGGUUGGAAGUAUUUUUUACAUGUGAAAAAUUAUUUUUAAUGCAGUAAGAUAAGAUAGAUAGCAUCAGCUAGCAUGUAAGACUUAUCAGUUGUUCUUCUUAAACCAAACAACCAUACGAUUUUCAGAAGUCAUUUCCACUUCUUCAAGUCUCAUCCUUUUCAGAUAACCGUGAUCAGAGAAGAUUCCAUACGUAUCAAUAUUAUAUAAUAAGAAAAAUUCAACACAUACUUGAACAACAUCGCCAAUGUUAACGAUAUAGGCAUUUGGGAUUGGUUUGACAGGAAUCCACUGUCCAUCUGAUUUUCUCCUCACUUGCAGCCCUCCAACAGCAUCUUGAGCAAGGAUUGUCAAGGCACCAGAAUCUUUGUGACGGCCUACGCCGAGCACAAGAUCCGGAGACGGACAUGGAGGGUACCGAUUCAACCUCAUCAAGCUCAUUUGCUCGUCAUUGAAAUAGCCCUUCAAUCCAUCAGCACCAGAUAAGCCUAGACUCAAAAGAAUCAACCUCAGUAGCUUAUGUGCUAGCAAUUCCAACUCUCUGGCAUACUCCUCGCACAUUUCCCUAUUCAAGAAAACCAACAACAACAAGUUCUUCCAGCAGGCAUGCAGUAGAUGAAGAAAUACAAGAUCAGAGUUUCAGAGAGGAAUUUUUAUACAAAAAGUUGGUGUGCAAAUUCUCUUAUUCUCUUCAAGUAAUCCAAAUAUAGAAAAUAAAACAUGCAUGAACUAAAUUUCUAGAAUAUGGGAUCUGUUCUCGGCAUGUAUUUAACUAAAGACAAGGAACAAUUUGAACAGAAAUGCAAAUUAAAUUACCUAAAUCCAGGGGGAUAUUCCGGCCAAUGAUUAAACAAUACCUUCAAUUUCGUAUCAUUUGGAUCAUGCGAAGCUGGAAAGAACGUCCCAUCCUUAACCAAGAAAUCAAAGACCUCCUUCCAAUCUCUAACGUUUUUCGUAUUCUCACCGUCAUAAAAUCCCACAGCAUUACCUGCAUCUCUCUUCACCUUCCUUUUCUCCUCCAUCGUCUGGUCAAAAAAUAACUUGGCAGCUUUCUCGAAUCGCGCGAGCGUCUCGAGUGAAACUCCAUGGUUGAUUACCUGGAAGAAACCCCAGUUCUGGCAGGCAGAGGCUAUUUCAGAGACAAGGUGUUGGGUGGUGCGAGAGGGGGAGAUGGAGAGAUCUAUGGUUGGGACUUGGUCGGUGGCCGGUUGGAAGGGAUAGAGUUUGGGGCGGUGCUGGAUGGGUUGGAUGAAGGAAGAAUCCACGACCAAGGUGUCUUGGUCCAUGGUUGAAGCGUGUAGGAUGAAACUGUAAGUGGAAAGCAAUGAUCGUUGAUGAGAUUAUUAUGGCCAUUGUUGUUGUUAAGGAGUUAGGAGGAGUGAAGGUGGACGGAAUUGCAGUAAUGUUCAUGGUUUAUGGAGAAGAUAAAGAUUUUGAUUUGUGGUUAAACCAAUUUAGUGAAACUGUAAUUAGCGCAGCGGCAAAUUUGAGAUUUAAGCGUUGUUGAACAAAGAUUAGUAAUGCAUUAAUUUAUAACCCAAAAAAUGGAAUACACUACCAUCUACGUACUUUCUCUCUUUAAAAUAUUGUUCUAUUUUUGGUACUUAUACUUCACCUUCCUUCAAUUUUAGUCUAUAUAUAUAUUCUAUUACUCCUUUAAUUGUAUUCUAUACAUUUUAAAUAAAUUUAAGACUUACUUAAAUUAAAAUUUUAAAAAUUAAAAACAAGAAAUAUAAUCCUUUUAUGUUUUCAGAUGCUUUUGGUACCAAAUUUCGAUGUAGUUAUUCACUCAAUAAUUUGACAAUAAACUAUUCAACUAUGUUUAUUUUUUUAAAUUAAUAUUGUAUAAUCUAUUAUUUUGUAACAUUAUACAAUUAAUUAUAGGAUAAAUUGAAAAUUUGUUCUUCGUAGUUUAAAAGAAGUUUGUUAAUUAAUUACGCAUAGUUUAAAUUUUGUUCUCCGCCUUCGCUCCCCUUGCAUAGUUGUCCAUCUUCUUCGGUCUUUGGUUAAGAAUUAUUCAUGCAUGCAAAGAUGGUAAAAAAUUAAGAUGGACACUAAAUUUAUUAAAUGAAUAUCAUUAUAAAAUCAGCCUUGUUUUCAUACCCUAAAUUUUAAUAAAAUUUAUUUAAGAAAAAUAUAUAUUUCAAGUAUAAUAUAUAUGUAUGAAAAAAAAAAAACUUUUCUUAACUUCCAAAAUAUUGAAGUUCAGACCAACUUGCAUCCCAAAGAACCAUCAAAUGAAUAAAUACUAAAUAUUGUAUUCACAAUAUUCAUCAAUAAACAAAGUUCAAUUUCACGAAAUACAUUUUUUUUGAAAUCUCUUGUGAACCGUUUGAAUAUAUAUAUAUAUAAUAUAGAAUUAGCCUACAUCGUGUUGGAAUUUUUUGUCCUAAAACUCGUAGUUUGUAAAUCAUAUUCUAUUCAAUAAAGUUGUUAUUGAGAAAUUAAAAUAUUAUAAUCUUAAAUCCAAUAAAUCAAAGUUCCAAGGCUAUUUUUUGAAUAAACUUGAACUUUAUGUGGAAACAUAAAACGUGGAUCAAGUUCGAGUAUAUAGCCUAAAUAGUCUAUAGUAUAUGAAAUAAAGGUUGGGCGCCUUAUUUUGAGAGGCUAUGGAUGCGGCCCACUUUGUAGUACAAACGAUGUGAUCCUAAUCGUUCAUGUAGAGACAUGAAAGUGGGGGCAUCCUAUGUAAAAUGUUUACAUAAGACUGAACCAUGAAUUAGUCAUUUUUACGUUAUAACACCGUUUACUGUUUAAAACUGACUAUCUCAAUUAUUGAUGACCUAGGUAACUUAGUCUUAAUCCUGAGUUAACUAUGAACUCCUGUUCAUACGAGAUUAUCCUUAGAUCUGCAUAGGUGAGGGCAGCUCAUCAGCGUUGGCCCAAUAAGCCUCCCAUUUCAGGGGUAAGAUCGGGUGGAUAGCUGGGAACAUAGGGUACAAGAUGGAAUUCACUCCUACCCGCUUUAGGGUUAGUAGAUAGGUUGCUCUCUUAAGCACUGAAUCCAAGUCUUGAACAAGGGGCCCCACCCUCUCAUUGGCCCGAGAGGGAUUAAGUUUAUAGGUUGAACCUUAAACCAAUUGUUCAAUAGUGGAUUAGUGGGACUUAAGGAGCAAGAUGUAAUCUUGGGGGUAAAACGGUAUUUUGACCCAGCCAAGGUUACGAGCAACCUGUGAAGGAUUAACUUACUGAUUAUGGUUUUAUCAAAUGGACACAAAUAUAUCUAUAGUGAGGGGAGUGCAACUACGGGACUUUAGUGGAAUGACCCGUUAGUUAACAAAUGUUGAUUAACUCGGUUUAAAAGAGUUUAGCUAGUUAAUCUUGAAUCGUUGGAGCCCAUGAUCUAUAGGUCCAUUAGGUUCCUCUGCUAGCUCAUAUGGAUUAAACUUAGAACAGUGUGAUGAAAUAAGUCGAAUUGUUCGAAUAGGGAGAAGAAAGGAAAACCGACAUAUACAGUGAUAUAAUCGUCGGUCUUCUAAUUAGAAAUAGAGCUUUAUGUUUUACAUACUAUAAGUAUGAAUGCGGAUUCAUACUAAGAAGCUCGGAAUUGGUCAAAAAUAGUAAAAAGUCAAAAUGUUGACUUUUGACUUUGAAAAGUCAAACUUUGACCGGCCUUAUAUUCAAAUGUGAUUUGAAUUUUGGAAAAAUGAAUGCGGAUUCAUGCUCGGGAGGUUGGAAUUAGUCAAGACGGACAAAAUGGUAAAAAGUCAAAAUAUUGACUUUUGACUUAGAAAAGUCAAAGUUUGACUUUUGACUAGAAAAAUCUAAUGACCAUUUUACCCUUGGACUAAGUUAGUGGGAAAAUCCAACAUUUUGUUGGAUAAUCCCACUAACUCUUAGUGGGAUAUGUGGCUAUAUGAGAUAUAGACACCUAGCCCACUAAGUUCCACUAAUUGUUAGUGGAAUAUUAGGUGUUGAGAUUUGGCAAUUGAAUUGCAUGCAUUUUGCAUGUAAUUAGGCUAUAAAUAGAGAUGUUUUCAAAUGUUGAAGGACUUUUGCCUCUUUUAUCAUUUUCAUAAUCUCAACAAAAGAAAAAAAAAGCUUCCAAUCUCAUUUUAUCUCCAUUACUUUCUACACCAAAAUUGGGUCCCACAACCCGGUUCUUUGUCUAGAGGAUAGCAGUUGAGUACUAGUGUGGUCUCGGGUAGAAUUGGUAAGAAGACAUCAAACCUUUUGAAAGCUUCAAAGGUAAUACUUCUUAAAACCCUAAUUUGAUUAGUUUAUGGUUACAUGUUAAUUGUGGCAAUUAGGGUAGAAAUUCGAUUCUUUUUUCCGCUGUGCAUGACUUAGUUCUAUCAUGUGGUAUCAGAGCAUGCUUCAUUUUUACCCAAUUGCAUGUGGUGGGUUCAUAUUUAUUAGAUAAAUUUUGGUUUGAACUAAAAUGGAUAUAUUAUGAUUUUGGCUCUAGAUUAAGUGUUUUUGUUCUAAUUAUUGUAAUUAGCCUUGUUAAUGGCUUAUUUUUAUUGUUGCAAAGUGUUUGUAAUUUUUUAAAAAAAUAAAAAAAGUCAUUAGAGUUGAAGCUAGGCUGUAAUUGGUUCAACCGGGUGAGAGAAUUGAAAAAAAAUGAAGAAAAGAAGGUCACAGACCCGAAAACCCGGUUUUGACCCGCUUCGCGACCCGCACGCGCCCGCAUGCCGCGCGCCCCUCCCUGCGUCCUGCACGCGCCCGCGGCCCCUCGAUGCGCCCGGCGCCUGCAUGCGCCCGGGCGCCUUGCAUGCGCCGGCGCGCUCGCAUGUGUCCCGCGCGCGCCCGCAUGGCGCCCCGCGCGCCCGCGCGUGCCGCGCCUUCGCACGACCCCGUGUGCGCCUGGGCCGGUUCAAGCCAAUAAAUUUGGUUUUUGGGCCGGUUCAAGCGGUUUCGGUUGGUUUUUUAGCCGGUUCGAAAUUUUUGGGAGUGGUUCUGUACUACACCAAAUUAAUUAUGUAAUAAUUUAGCACUUAGCUUAAUUUAGGAGCCAAAAAUCAGUCCAUUUUAGGGUGUUUUUUUUAUUUAUGCAUGUGAUGUAUGAUUAAAUUACUUUAAAUUUGUAUGUGCAUUUUGAAUGUCAUAUAGAUUUAAAAUCCCACCAUAGGUUAACAUGUUCAUGCAUUAAAAUGUAUGAUAUAAAGGUUAUAUUGUAUUGUAUGCAUGUUAAUUGAUUAAUAUGGAAAUUAAUUAAUAUGAUUAAUUAUUAUUUAAUUAAUUAAGUUAUUCUUGAUUAAAUAUGAUUUAAUCAAAUUAAUUAAUUAUUGUUUUGAUUUAAUUUAAUUAAAUAUGAUUUAAUUAAAGUUAAAUAAAUUAAAAUCCAUAUUAAUUGAUUGUUUUUUAUUAUAUAUUGAUAAAAUGAUUGAUUAAGUUUAAAAGUUUUUAUAAGUGUUAUAAAAUAAAUUAGACUUUUAAAAUCAAUAACAAAGAUUAAAUGCAUGCUCACUUAGGUUAAACAUAUCUUCCAUUUUCAUAGAAAUAGGUCGAUAUCUUGUAAAACUGGUUACAAAAGGCUCACCUGGUUCAAUCUUGUCAACAAGUCAGAUAAGAUGACUAAGGUUGGAGUUCUUAAGUUGACGGUUUACGGAACACCUCCUACCUGGAGAUCGUAAUCAGUUCUUGAGCCUAGUUAACCUAGUUUUAUGAGCAUUCGUGAGAGGUGUGAGGUAAUAAAAAUGGUUUUCACCUAGACAUCAUAGGUUAAAAUCCUGUAUAAUGGUAUACUUGGAUGUUUUAUCUAGACUUAAGAUUUGUUUAAGUUAGCCUAAAUAUAAAUCUUGAAGUUUGGAUUACCCUAUUUUUUUCUUUUAGAACACUUCAACUAGAGAAAAAAUAAUGUAUUUUAGCUCUAGUGUCCCUAAGAGUUCACACCGUGAGGUCCAUGCAGGGCUUUGUGCCGUGCAUAGGAGCGGCCUCCCUUCGGAGAGUGUUUGCAUGGAUCAAAAUCAAGGUGAAUAGGGGAAGUAGUUCAUAGUAAGUGGGUGAGGGAUUUGUGGCAGCACAUCCCACGGUCUCUUCCAUUAGGUCGCACCGUGAGAUUUCUAUAAUAUGCCUGCUUGUCUGCCCUGGAGCGACGUUCCCUUCGGAGGGUUGUAUUAUAGGAUUCGGAACACCGCGAACUCCAAAACUGGAUAGGAUUUCUUAGAUUAGUUUUCAUAAAUGAUUCUAAUCUAUAAAAUCUGAAAAUGGUGGGUAACACUUACAAGAAUUACUAAGUUGUUAGUAUAUUCUUGACUAAAGUAGCGAUAACUAAGUGCUAUAAAGAAUAAGAGUUAUUCUUGAGAUAGCAUCUAGUCAAGAUUGUCUUGGUUCAAAGGAGGAAUAAUCAACUACCCUUCGGAGAAGGUUGUUCUAAACCUUUGAAAUAUUGUUGCAAAAUACAAAUAAUGAAAGGGUACAUUAUUAGUAAUUGCUAAAUUAGAUUGGAUAUUUUUAUGAUUAUAGUUUUUUCCUUAAAAGAAUAUGUUUGUUUUUCAGCAUGAAUAGCUCAAUAGUUCAACUUUUAGCUUCCGAAAAACUUAAUGGCGAUAAUUAUGCGGCUUGGAAAUCAAAUCUUAACACAAUACUAGUGGUUGGUGAUUUAAGAUUUGUCUUAACUGAGGAUGUCCUCAAAACCCUGCCUCUAAUGAUAACCGAACUAGUCGGGAUGCAUAUGAUCGAUGGAUAAAAGCUAAUGAAAAAGCACGUGUCUACAUUCUUGCCAGCAUGUCUGAUGUAUUGGCAAAGAAACAUGAAUCUUAGCCACGGCUAAAGAGAUUAUGAAUUCAUUAAGGGGAAUGUUUGGGCAACCAGAAUGGUCCUUAAGACACGAGGCAGUCAAAUACAUUUACACUAAGCGUAUGAAGGAAGGGACCUCUGUUAGAGAACAUGUUCUGGACAUGAUGAUGCACUUCAACAUCGCUGAAGUGAAUGGUGGUCCAUCGAAGAGGUUAAUCAAGUUAGUUUUAUCUUAGAGUCUCUUCCGAAGAGCUUCAUUCCAUUCCAAACGAAUGCGUCUUUGAACAAGAUAGAAUUUAACUUGACAACCCUUCUGAAUGAACUCCAGCGAUUCCAAAACCUUACUAUGGGUAAAGGAAAACAAGUGGAAGCAAAUGUUGCUACCACAAAAAGAAAAUUUAUAAGAGGAUCGUCCUCUAAAACCAAAGCUGGACCCUCAAAACCUAAUGCUCAAAUAAAAAAGAAGGGAAAGGGAAAGACUCCCAAACAGAACAAGGGUAAGAAAGGUGCAGAAAAAGGUAAGUGUUACCAUUGUGGCCAAAACGGGCACUGGUUAAGAAACUGCCCAAAAAUACCUUGCAGAAAAAAAGGCAGAGAAGGAAACACAAGGUAAAUAUGAUUUACUAGUUGUAGAAACAUGUUUAGUGGAAUAUGAAAAUUGUACCUGGAUACUAGAUUCAGGAGCCACUAACCAUAUUUGCUUCUCAUUUCAGAAAAUAGUUCUUGAAAAAGCUUUCAGAAGGCGAGAUCACUCUCAGGUUGGAACAGGAGAGAUGGUCUCAGCUUCAGUGGGAGAUUUAAAGUUGUUUUUUAGAGAUAGAUAUGUCAUACUUAAGAAUGUCUUAUAUGUACCUCAAAUGAAAAGAAAUUUAAUAUCUAUCUUUGUAUUUUGGAACAAAUGUAUAGAAUAUCUUUUGAAAUUAAUGAAAGCGUUCGUUUUCUAUAAAGGUAUUCUAGUUUGUUCUGCUAUACUUGAAGACAACUUAUAUAAGUUAAGACCAACUAGAGACAAAUUUUGUCUUAAAUACUGAAAUAUUCAGAACAGCUGAAACUCAGAAUAAAAAGACAAAAAGUUUCUUCUAAUGCCUAUUUAUGGCACUUAAGACUUGGUCACAUAAAUCUCAAUAGGAUUGGGAGAUUGGUUAAAAGUGGGCUUCUAAGUCCGUUAGAAGAUAACUCUUUACCUCCUUGUGAAUCUUGUCUUGAAGGAAAAAUGACCAAGAAGAUCUUUUACUGGAAAAGGUCUAAGAGCCAAAGGACCCUUAGAGCUCGUACAUUCGACCUUUGUGACCAAUGAAUGUCAAAGCUCGAGGUGGAUAUGAAUAUUUCAUUAGCUUCUUGAUGAUUAUUCAAGGUAUGGUCAUAUUUACCUAAUACAUCAUAAGUCUAAUAGUCUUGAAAAGUUCAAAGAAUAUAAGGCUGAAGUAGAAAACGAAUUAGGUAAAACAAUAAAAAAUACUUCGAUCAGAUCGAGGUGGAGAGUAUAUGAUGGCUUACGAUUCCGAGACUAUUUAAUAGAAAAUGAAUCCAGUCACAACUCUCUGCACCUAGUACACCUCAACAGAACGGAUGUAUCAGAAGAAGAAACCGGACCUUGUUAGACAUGGUUUCGCUCUAUGAUGAGUUUUUCUCAGAUGUCAGAUUCUUUUUUGGGGAUAUGCUUUAGAAACAGCUGCUUAUAUUUUGAAUAAUGUUUCCCUCUAAAAGUGUUUCAGAAACACCUUAUGAGCUAUGGAAAGGGCGUAAAGGCAAGUUUACGUUCAUUUUUAAAUUUGGGGUUGUCCAGCACACGUGUUGGUACAAAAUCAAAGAAUUGGAACAUCGUUCAAAAUUAUGCUUUUUUAUAGUUAUCCAAAAGAAUCAAGAGGUGGUUUGUUUUAUGAUCCUCAAGAAAAUAAAAUAUUUGUGUCAACAAAUGCCACAUUCUUAGGAAGACCACAUCAGGGAUCAUCAACCUCGUAGUAAACUAGUAUUUUAAAGAAAUUUCCAAAAGUGCUAUAGAUAAAACCUAGUUCAUCCACUAAGGUAGUUGAUAAGACUAGGAAAUCUGGUCAAUCACAUCCUUUCUCAAACAGUUGAAGAGAGCCUCGGACGUAGUGGAGGGUUGUUCAUCAGCCUGAUCGCUAUUGGUUUAAUUGAAACUCAAGUCGUCAUACCUGACGAUGGCAUAGAGGAUCCAUUAACCUAUAAACAGGCAAUAAAGAUGUAGAUCGUUCGACCAAUGGAAUCAAAGCCAUGGACCUCGAAAUGGAGUCUAUGUACUUUAAUUCUUUUCUGGACUCUAGUAGAUCAACCAAAUGACGUAAAACCUAUUGGUGGUAAAUGGAUCUACAAGAGAAAACGAGACAUGCCGGUAAAGUACAGACUUUUAAGCUCGCUUGGUGCAAAGGGUUAUACCCAGAAGAGGGAGUAGACUAUGAGGAAACUUUCUCUCCCUUGCCAUGUUAAAGUCAAUUGAAUACUCUUAUCCCAUCGCCACUUUUAUGAUUAUGAAUUUGGCAGAUGAUGUAAGACAGCUUUUUUGAACGUGUAAUCUUGAAGAGAGUAUCUAUAUGUCUCAACCAGAGGGUUUAUAGAACACAGAUCAAGAACAAAAGGUUUGUAAGCUUAAAAAAUUCCAUUUAUGGAUUAAAACAAGCUUCUAGAUCCUGGAAUAUAAGAUUUGAUAUUGCGAUCAAAAUCUUAUGGCUUUGAACAAAAUGUUGACGAGCCUUGUGUUUACAAAAGGUCGUCAAUUCCAUUAUAGCAUUUUUUAGUCUUAUAUGUAGAUGAUAUUCUACUUAUUGGAAAUGACGUAGGAUAUCUUACUGAUAUCAAGAAAUGGCUAGCUAUGCAAUUUCAAAUGAAAGAUCUGGGAGAUGCACAAUACGUUCUCGGAAUCCAAAUUGUUCGAAACCGUAAGAACAAAACACUAGCCAUGUCUCAAGCAUCUUACAUAGACAAAAUGUUGUCUAGAUAUAAAAUGCAGAAUUCCAAAAAGGGUCUGCUGCCGUACAGAUAUGGAAUUCAUUUGUCAAAGGAACAAUGUCCUAAGACACCUCAAGAAGUUGAGGAUAUGAGAAAUAUUCCCUAUGCUUCCGCUGUUGGAAGUUUAAUGUAUGCAAUGUUAUGUACUAGACCUGACAUUUGCUACUCAGUAGGGAUGGUCAGUAGGUAUCAAUCCAAUCAUGGACGUGAUCACUGGACAGCCGUUAAAAACAUUCUACAUGCUACAUGCUCAUGUAUCGUACAAAGGAUCUGAUCCUUACUGGAUACACUGAUUCAGAUUUCCAAACUGAUAAAGAUGUUAGAAAGUCUACAUCAGGAUCAGUAUUUACUCUAAAUGGAGGAGCAGUAGUUUGGAGAAGCAUAAAGCAAACUUGUAUAGCUGAUUCCACAAUGGAAGCUGAUCAUUUUACAAAAGCCCUCAUGGCUAAAGUGUUUGAGGGUCACCUACACAGUUUAGGUCUACGAUGUUUGUAAACUAGGACAAGUGGGAGACUUAUUGGCCAUGUGCCCUAGUUUCAUAUAUAUUCUCUCACACCACAUCUCUCAUACCACUAGGAAUUUUAGUCCAAGUGGGAGUUUGUUGGAAUUUUUUGUCCUAAAACUCGUAGUUUGUAAAUCAUAUUCUGUUCAAUAAAGUUGUUAUUGAGAAAUUAAAUAUUAUAAUCUUAAAUCCAAUAAAUCAAGUUCCAAGGCUAUUUUUGAAUAAACUUGAACUUUAUGUGUAAACAUAAACGUGGAUCAAGUUCGAGUAUAUAGCCUAAAUAGUCUAUAGUAUAUGAAAUAAAGGUUGGGCGCCUUAUUUAGAGAAACUAUGGAUGCGGCCCACUUUGUAGUACAAACGAGGUGAUCCUAAUCGUUCAUGUAGAGACAUGAAAGUGGGGGCAUCCUAUGUAAAAUGUUUACAUAAGACUGAACCAUGAAUUAGUCAUUUUUACGUUAUAACACCGUUUACUGUUUAAAACUGACUAUCUCAAUUAUUGAUGACCUAGGUAACUUAGUCUUAAUCCUGAGUUAACUAUGAACUCCUGUUCACACGAGAUUAUCCUUAGAUCUGCAUAGGUGAGGGCAGCUCAUCAGCGUUGGCCCAAUAAGCCUCCCAUUUCAGGGGUAAGAUCGGGUGGAUAGCUGGGAACAUAGGGUACAAGAUGGAAUUCACUCCUACCCGCUUUAGGGUUAGUAGAUAGGUUGCUCUCUUAAGCACUGAAUCCAAGUCUUGAACAAGGGGCCCCACCCUCUCAUUGGCCCGAGAGGGAUUAAGUUUAUAGGAUGAACCUUAAACCAAUUGUUCAAUAGUGGAUUAGUGGGACUUAAGGAGCAAGAUGUAAUCUUGGGGGUAAAACGGUAUUUUGACCCAGCCAAGGUUACGAGCAACCUGUGAAAGACUAACUGGUUGGGCGCCUUAUUUAGAGAAACUAUGGAUGCAGCACACUUUGUAGUACAAACGAGGUGAUCCUAAUCGUUCAUGUAGAGACAUGAAAGUGGGGGCAUCCUAUGUAAAAUGUUUACAUAAGACUGAACCAUGAAUUAGUCUUUUUUACUUUAUAAAACCGUUUACUGUUUAAAACUGAUUGUCUCAAUUAUUGAUGACCUAGGUAACUUAGUCUUAAUCCUGAGUUAACUAUAAACUCCUGUUCACACGAGAUUAUCCUUAGAUCUUCAUAGGUGAGGGCAGCUCAUCAGCGUUGGCCCAAUAAGCCUUCCAUUUCAGGGGUAAGAUCGGGUGGAUAGCUGGGAACAUAGGGUACAAGAUGGAAUUCACGCCUACCCGCUUUAGGGUUAGAAGAUAGGUUGUUCUCUUAAGCACUGAAUCCAAGUCUUGAACAAGGGGCCCCACCCUCUCAUUGGCCCGAGAGGGAUUAAGUUUAUAGGAUGAACCUUAAACCAAUUGUUCAAUAGUUUAUUAGUGGGACUUAAGGAGCAAGAUGAAAUCUUGGGGGUAAAACGGUAUUUUGAUUGAGCCAAGGUUACGAGCAACCUUUGAAGGACUAACUGGUUGGGCGCCUUAUUUAGAGAAACUAUGGAUGCGGCCCACUUUGUAGUACAAACGAGGUGAUCCUAAUCGUUCAUGUAGAGACAUGAAAGUGGGGGCAUCCUAUGUAAAAUGUUUACAUAAGACUGAACCAUGAAUUAGUCUUUUUUACUUUAUAACAUCGUUUACUAUUUAAAACUGACUAUCUCAAUUAUUGAUGACCUAGGUAACUUAGUCUUAAUCCUGAGUUAACUAUGAACUCCUGUUCACACGAGAUUAUCCUUAGAUCUGCAUAGGUGAGGGCAGCUCAUCAACGUUGGCCCAUAAGCCUCCCAUUUCAGAGGUAAGAUCGGGUGGAUAGAUGGGAACAUAGUUUACAAGAUGGAAUUCACUCCUACCCGCUUUAGGGUUAGUAGAUAGGUUGUUCUCUUAAGCACUGAAUCCAAGUCUUGAACAAAGGGCCCCACCCUCUCAUUGGCCCGAGAGGGAUUAAGUUUAUAGGUUGAACCUUAAACCAAUUGUUCCAUAGUGGAUUAGUGGGACUUAAGGAGCAAGAUGUAAUCUUGGGGGUAAAACGGUAUUUUGACCCAACAAAGGUUACGAGCAACCUGUGAAGGAUUAACUUAUUGAUUAUGGUUUUAUCAAAUGGACACAAAUAUAUCUAUAGUGAGGGGAGUGCAACUACGGGACUUUAGUGGAAUGACCCGUUAGUUAAAGAAUGUUGAUUAACUCGGUUUAAAAGAGUUUAGCUAGUUAAUCUUGAAUCGUUGGAGCCCAUGAUCUAUAAGUCCAUUAGGUUCCUCUGCUAGCUCAUAUGGAUUAAACUUAGUACAGUGUGAUGAAAUAAGUCGAAUUGUUCGAAUUGGGAGAUAAAAGGGAAACCGACAAAUAUAGUGAUAUAGUCGUCGGUCUUCUAAUUAGAAAUAGAGCUUUAUGUUUUACAUACUAUAAGUAUGAAUGCGGAUUCAUACUAAGAAGCUCGGAAUUGAUGGAAUUGGUCAAAAAUAGUAAAAAGUCAAAAUGUUGACUUUUGACUUUGAAAAGUCAAACUUUGACCGGCCUUAUAUUCAAAUGUGAUUUGAAUUUUUGAAAAAUGAAUGCGGAUUCAUGCUCGAGAGGUUGGAAUUAGUCAAGACGGAGAAAAUGGUAAAAAGUCAAAAUAUUGACUUUUGACUAAGAAAAGUCAAAAUUUGACUUUUGACUAGAAAUAUCUAAUGACCAUUUUACCUUGGACUAAGUUAGUGGAAAAUCCAACAUUUUGUUGGAUAAUCCCACUAACUCUUAGUGGGAUAUGUGGCUUUAUGAGAUAUAGACACCUAGCCCACUAAGUUCACUAAUUGUUAGUGGAACAUUAGGUGUUGAGAUUUGGCAAAUGAAUUGCAUGCAUUUUUGCAUGUAAUUAGGUUAUAAAUAGAGGUGUUUUUAAAUGUUAAAGAACUUUUGCCUCUUUUAUCAUUUUCAUCAUCUCAACAAAAGGAAAAAAAAAAAAGAAACCUUCCAAUCCCAUUUUAUCUCCAUUACUUUCUACACCAAAAUUGGGUCCCACAACCCGGUUCUUUGUCUAGAGGAUAACAGUUGAGUACUAGUGGUGGUCUCGGUUAGAAUAUGUAAGAAGAUAUCAAACCUUUUGAAAGCUUCAAAGGUAAUAUUUCUUAAAACCCUAAUUUGAUUAGUUUAUGGUUACAUGUUAAUUGUGGCAAUUAGGGUAGAAAUUCGAUUCUUUUUCCGCUGUGCAUGACUUAGUACUAUCACUCUGACCCCGUUUUAAGUCCGGUCGUUCCUUUCUAGGCCAUUGUGCCUUUCUUUCGCCAUUUUCGGAGGAACCAAGAAACCGAGUCUGGGGCAUCACCGUUCGGCUUCUGUGGGCAAGAAACUUCGAGACCACUCAGAAUCGGACCACCCAGUAGCUAGACGUGAACUUUCGAAGCCUCCGACCCUGUUCUAAGUCCAGUCGUUCCUUUCUAGGCCAUUGUGCCUUUUUUUCGGCGUUUUCGGACGGAACCAAGAAACUGAGUCCGGGACAUCACCGUUCGGCGUUCGUGGGCAAGAAACUUUGAGAUCACUCAGAAUCGACCACCCAGUAGCUAGUGUGAACUUUCGAGGCCUCCGACCCCGUUCUAAUUCCAAUCGUUCCUUUCUAGGCCAUUGUGCCUUUCUUCGGCGUUUUGGGACGGAACCGAGAAACCGAGUUUGGGGCAUCACGUUCGGUUUUCGUGGGCAAGAGACUUCGAGAUCACUCAGAAUCGGACCACCCAGUAGCUAGAUGUGAACUUUCGAGGCCUCCGAUCCCGUUCUAAGUCCGGUCGUUCCUUUCUAGGCCAUUGUGCCUUUCUUCGAGGUUUUGGGACGGAACUAAGAAACCGAGUCUGAGGCAUCACCGUUCGUCUUUCGUGGGCAACAAACUUUGAGAUCACUCAGAAUCGGACCACCCAGUAGCUAGAUGUGAACUUUCGAGGCCUCCGACCCCGUUCUAAGUCUGGUCGUUCCUUUCUAGGCCAUUGUGCCUUUCUUCGACGUUUUGGGACGGAACCUGUUGGCUUUUUGGCCCUUAAUCUCAAAUUAAUUUAUUUUAAUUAUUCAAUUAAUUUAUGUUUUGAUGAUAACAAAUCUGAUUUUUUUUAUUGACAAUUUUAUUAAGUUGAAUAGACCAUAUCGUAGAGCUUGGAAAAAUGAUUCUAACGCCUCUUGAAUCACCCAAAUCGAAGUUCAAAUGAAGAAAAUAUUGCUAAAAGAAGCUUAACGAAAAAAUACCCGAGAUGGUGACGUGGCGACCAAGCAUUCAAUUUGAACCAAUUAGAGAAAGCCACUUGGAGCAAUGAAGGAGUAACAAAUGUGGCUUUUUGUUAUGUUUUAUUGGCUUUUAUAAAGAAAAUGAAUUUAAAGAAAAAUGAUUUUAAUAUUAUUAUUUUUUCUUGUGUCUAACGGCUAGUUUUUUUAAAAGAUGGUGAAGUUGCUUUAUUGAUUUCUUUUUAAACAAAAUAUUUUGAAAAGACAUAUUAUUAUAUUAUUAUUUGUAUUGUGUCUAACGGCUAAUUAAGUUUAAAUCUCAACCAUUCAUUUUUCUUUUACUUAUAUCUAAUGACCCAAAUGAUUUUGAAUUUAUCUUUCCUCUCUUUUUAAAUACUUCACAUUUACACAAGAUCACAAAAUCUUUACAAUCCUCAAGCAAAAAGCCAACAUUGUUAUUCUCUCUAAAGCUUCCAAUUUUUAUUCUUUUCAUCUUAUUCUUGAGAGCUUCUUAUUGUAUUGUGAGGAUUAAAUUUGUGAGCUUCAAAUUGUAUACUCACUCUUUUAGAGAGUUUUCUUUUUGUGUGAUUUAAAAUUUCAACAUAUUGUAACGGUUGGAUCCUAACCCGUGGAAAGGAUCGGGUUUGCUCUUAAACCGAAAAAGGAGCAAGAAUCGGUUCGGCUCAAAUCCGUGGAAAGAGUCCAAAGAAGAUUUUCAAUCAAAAUCCCAAGGGGUGCUUGGGAAAGUGGAUGUAGGUUGAGUUUAACCGAACCACUAUAAAAUUACGGUGUCUUCUUCUCUAACUCUUUUCUAAUUAUUUUUUAAUUUAAUUUUAGUUACAUAUUCUUAUUGGUUGAGUUUGAUUGCAUACUUCCAUUCAUAUCUUUUUAUCAAUCUUGUUAUUUAACAAAGUUUACAAAGUUCUUUAUUUAAAUUUUAGAAAAUAUCUAAUUAGUUGAUUUUACUUUUUAUUUGUCAAAAAGUUUAUUUAAACCCUAUUCACCCCCCUCUAGGGUUGCCAUACCGAUCCAACAGAACCGAGAAACCGAGUCUGGGCCAUCGUCGUUUGGCUUUCGUGGGAAAGAAACAUCGAGAUCACUCAUAAUCGGACCACCUAGUAGCCUGAUGCGAACUUUUGAGGCCUCCGACCCCGUUCUAUGUUCGGUCGUUCCUUUCUAGGCCAUUGUGCCUUUCUUCGGCCUUUGGGACGGAACCGAGAAACCGAGUCUGGGGCAUCGUCGUUCGGCUUUCGUGGGCAAGAAACUUUGAGAUCACUCAAAAUCGGACCAAUGAGUAGCUAGAUGUGAACUUUCGAGGCCUCCGACCCCGUUCUAGGUCCGAUCGUUCCUUUCUAGGCCAUUGUGCCUUUCUUUAGGAUUUUGGGACGGAACCGAGAAACCGAGUCUGGGCAUCGUCGUUUGGCUUUCGUGGGUAAGAAACUUCGAGAUCAAUCAGAAUAAGACCACCCAGUAGCUAGAUGUGAACUUUCGAGGCCUCCAACCCUGUUCUAAGUCCGAUCGUUCCUUUGUAGGCCAUUGUGCCUUUCUUUCGGCGUUUUCGAAUGGAACCAAGAAACCGAGUCUGGGGCAUCACCGUUCGGCUUCUUUGGGCAAGAAACUUCGAGACCACUCAGAAUCGGACCACCCAGUAGCUAGAUGUGAACUUUCAAGGCCUCCGACCCCGUUCUAAGUCCGGUCGUUCGUUUCUAGGCCAUUGUGCCUUUCUUCGGUGUUUUGGGACGGAACCGAGAAACCGAGUCUGGUGCAUCGUCAUUUGGCUUUCGUGGGCAAGAAACUUCGAGAUCACUCAGAAUCGGACCACCCAGUAGCUAGAUGUGAACUUUCGACGUCUCCGACCCCGUUCGAAGUCCAGUCGUUCCUUUCUAGGCCAUUCCGGAGACCAAAAGAGAAGAGAUUGCCAGUUGUAUUAUAAAGGCACUAUGGAGUUCAAAAGGAAUUGGGUGGGUCUUUGUUUGAAGCUAGUGGCAGAUUAAGAGUUUUGCUGAUUAUGUGGAUAAAUACAAGUUAUCGAUUAUUGAAGUUUGGUCAAUAGAAGGAAGGUCAUUACAGUGUGGCUUAUAAGUUGUUUCAACAUUAAUUUAUAAGUAAUUUGCAAAGGUUCUCGCAGAAAGAUUAAAGAUAGUCAGGCCAGGUAUUACUUUGUAAGACCUCCUAUUCUAUACCUAUAAAAGGAAGGGUAGAAAGGGAAAUUCCUUAGCAACCAAUGGUGAGAGAAUAAUUGGAGAGGAUCGUGCAGGUUGGGCCCGCCAGGAGGUAUGAGAGAGAGAGGUAUAAAUAUGUAAUGUUGGGGUAGGGGAGGCUAGGUCUUUUUUGGUUAUUUCAAGGAGAGUAAAGGCUGCUGUAGCCUGAGGGUAUCCAGCCUCGUAUAAAGGAGCUGGGUAAGUUUUCUAUGUUGUUCUUCCUUUAUUUUUCAUAUCUACUACUGUUGAAUGUGUUUUGGCUUUUACAUAAAUAAAGAAUUAUAGAGUGUUGCCUCUGUUUAGCCAUUUGGUUAGGAUAUUUUGUGUUUUAUUGUUAGAAUCCUAACAUACUUCUCCAUUACAAUGUGGCUUUCUGGAAGAGUGCCAAAUCUUGGAUCCUAUUUUAAUAGCAAAGAAACUAUGGAGGCCAUAGUAUCCGAAAAAAGAAAAGAUGGAUCAUUAAAUUAGACCUUGAAAAGGCCUUUAACAGAGUGGAUUGGAAAUUUUAGAAAAUGUAAUGCAAAAGAAGAUCUUCGACGUAGGAUAUUGUGUUAUAUUGGCCAGUCUUUACAGCAUCUCCACUUUGAAGUCUUUGAUGAUCAGGACUUUCGGAUCAGCCCUCUGCUUCAAACAGUUGUUCCUCAACCAAUCAAGGCUUAUUCUUCUUUGUUCUCAGCAUGCUGCCUUUUUUGGAUGUUUUGAGGGCACUAAGGGGGUGUCAACCUAGUUUGAGAUGCCCGGAUGCGCCUGUUGAUCUUCCCUCUCCCCUUUUGCUCUUUGUAUAAUCAUCAUGUAAUUGAGCUUUGUCUCUUUCUUUAUAUUAAUAAUAGUGAGACUCGUAUCUUUUUUUAAAAAAAUAAAGAAAAUUCAAUUAUAUAUCACCAACACUCUCCUCACUUGUGGGCUUGAAAUAUUUGAAAGGCCCAACAACUGGAAAUGGAUUUUAAUUGGGGAGGAAACGACAAUGCGAGGCUUGAACACAAGACCUUCUUGGACCACCUGCUCGGAUACCAUAUUGAAACACACAACUUUACGUGGAAACCUGUGUACCAGGAGAAAAACCACUAUAUUUUUCUUCUUCUUAUUUUCUGAUUAAAAAUACAAUAGGUACAAGGAGAAUAAAUAGAAUAUACAGAGGAAUAAAAAAGGAAAAUAUUUAGGAAUUAAGAAAAAUAUUCCAUAAACUUUUCAUAAAUAUUCUAAGAUUCUAACAAUAAAAAGUUCUAUUUAUUCCAAAUUGUGACUGCUCUAAUGUGCAGUUGUUUUCUGAUUCAGAUGAUUGAGGAGCUUGGUGAUUCUCUCACUGCUGAUGGGAGUACAACCACUCAUGUCAUUACAGGAAAAGUGCGGAAAACUCUAAAUUUUUGUAUUGCUCUUUUUUCAGGGUUAGUCUUGCAACCUUAGACAAACACUCUUCUAUGUGUCCUUUUGGCCUUUGAAUCCCGAUAAUCAUCUCAUUUGCACCAAAGUUAGCGAUUCCAUGCACACAAAGCCUUUGCCGUUAUUCUUCCAUUGCCUCGUAGUUGUGCUUAGGCUGAAAUUGUUGUGAACCUUCUAGAUCUAAAAGGCAUAGUUUUCUUAUUCUACUGCCUGUUUACUUUUAGUUAAACAUCAAAAUCAAUUCUUAUGUUUGAGUUGGAUUGUAUCAUGCUCUUCCUUUUCAGUUGUUUCUAUCGUGAUGGUGGGGUAGUGGUUUUUAAGACAACCAUUAGGCUAAUUUGGGUUUCAGGCUUACUUUUCCCAUUUACGUGUAAAAUGGCUCAAGCUCACUAAUGAAAGAUAUUUGUUGGCUAGCUAGUGUUUUUAUCCUCGAUUUCCUUCUUCCCCUAAUACAUUAUGUUAUGGAAUUUGUUAGAUACCUAGAUUAGUAUAGGGUUGGGGUAUAACGGUAAUUAGAUAUUUAGGAAGUGACUAGUAGUUAUUGUGUAAGUUUGGUUACUAGUAGUUAUUAUGUAAGUGUGGUAACUAGGGUGGUUACAUGUUAUUAUAAAUGGAGGGAGGGUAAGUGGGGAGAAUUCUGGGGAGUGAUAUAAGGCUUGGGUGAGAGCACUCAAGAGGAGGGUUCCAAGUGCUUUAUACUUGGUUUUAUCUUGUAUUUUCUUAUAGUUACAUUAUAAUAAAUUUAGAUCUUGUUCUUGUUAGGAAGUAUAUGUCUCCAAUAUUAUUUAAAUACAGUAGAAGAAUUAAAAAGGGUAAUAUUGACCCACAUGAGAAUAUAGGAGAGAUUAUAGGAGGAGAGAAUAUCGGAGGAGAUCUUUCCCAUUAGUUUGUUAGGAAAGCAAAAUAAAAGGGAGGAAAGAGGAGGGAGAAAGGGGACAAAAUAUUCCAAAGAAGUAGAGGUUGCCGUCUUUCGUGCUCGGGAGAAGUAGAGGGUCCAAGUCAAGUUCUUUUUAUUGUUUGUUUUGGUCAUUUUCAUGGUUGCGGUUUGUUCUUAGUUUUUCUUGUUCUUUGUUGUGAUCCUCACUGGAGUGUGCCUUUAGGACGUAGAUGUGAGUGAUUUUUUAUUCUUAUACUAUAAUUCAUUGAGGUAAUUCAAUAAAGUAAGAUACACUUGCCGUAUAUUUACAGUAUCUUAACAGAUUGGUAUCAGAGUGUUUUACUUGGGAGAACGAUAGAGCAGCACAAAAAACGGAUCGAAGAGAAGUUGGAGACCUCUGAUAAGGAAAUCUCGGGGAUACAAGUGGAGUUACACAAGUUGUUGGCAAUUGAAGAAAAUUUGUUAUGAUUGCCAAAAAGCAUCGAAAGACUGGUCAUCUAGUUGGAAAAACAAGAACGAUUGCUAAAUGCAUCGAAGGAAUAGCAGAAAGAUAAUUCGACAAUCUCCGGAAGAAUGGAAGGAUCGUCGAGCAAAGGACCAACGAUUGAGAGUAUCAUCGAAGGUGGAGGUAAGACAUUGAAGGAAAUCAAGGUAGAAGGUAAAACAAACAAGUUUGAAAAGGAUGAAAACUCGAACGAUCAUAGCAAAUUCAAGAAGGUUGAAAUGCCUGUGUUCAGUGGCACUGAUCUGGAUUGUGUUUAUUUAGAACGGAUUGGAAUCUUCAGGUCCAUAAAUCGAUGGAUUCCAAGAAGUUGUUGAAUCCAUAAAAGAAUCGAGGAAAACGCGAUUGCAACGGUUAUACAACGAAGGUGAAGAGGAUGGCAAAGAGUGACCAAGAAGAAACUAUAGAGGAAGGUCGACGAGGAUUACCUGUGAGGCUUGAAAUUAAGACUCGAGUGAAGAAAAAUUUGUUGCUCAAAGAAACACAAAAUGGCUAGUUGCAAUGGAGAAACAAGAAGCCGACAGUUACCGGUCUACAGAGGCUCGAGAAGGUGGUCUGGAAUAGGGGUGAAUCACGUGACGAGGAAGAAGUUGCUGCACACAUGAUGGUGCCAAUGACGUGGUAGAAAUUUGUAGGAAAGAGGAUUAAGACAAAAGGAACAAUCUUGGGUUUUACUAUUUCAAGUGGGCUUCAACUUACUCUAAAUGAGCUUCAACUUAUUCUAAAUAAAACAUUGGGGGCACAUCAUUUUGUAGAUGAAGUGGAUGGAGAGUUCCAAAAAUAGGAGGGAAGAAAAAUCUGUAUGUAGGUGGGUCCUAGGAAUGAAACCGACGGCAGUAUGAUUUUGAUCUUGACGCAACACUUUGAUUAUGGCCUAGCCCACUAGAGAUGAAGAGUUUGAAAAUUAAACACUUGUUGGUGAUAUGCAUGUUGGAAUUUUUUGUCCUAAAACUCGUAGUUUGUAAAUCAUAUUCUCUUCAAUAAAAUUGUUAUUGAGAAAUUAAAUAUUAUAAUCUUAAAUCCAAGAAAUCAAGUUCCAAGGCUAUUUUUGAAUAAACUUGAACUUUAUGUGUAAACAUAAACGUGGAUCAAGUUCGAGUAUAUAGCCUAAAUAAUCUAUAGUAUAUGAAUAAAGGUUGGGCGCCUUAUUUAGAGAAACUAUGGAUGCGGCCCACUUUGUAGUACAACACGAGGUGAUCCUAAUCGUUCAUGUAGAGACAUGAAAGUGGGGGCAUCCUAUGUAAAGUGUUUACAUAAGACUGAACCAUGAAUUAGUCUUUUUUACGUUAUAACACCGUUUACUGUUUAAAACUGACUAUCUCAAUUAUUGAUGACCUAGGUAACUUAGCCUUAAUCUUGAGUUAACUAUGAACUCCUGUUCACACGAGAUUAUCCUUAGAUCUACAUAGGUGAGGGCAGCUCAUCAGCGUUGGCCCAAUAAGCCUCCCAUUUCAAGGGUAAGAUCGGGUGGAUAGCUGGGAACAUAGGGUACAAGAUGAAAUUCACUCCUACCCGAUUUAGGGUUAGUAGACAGGUUGUUCUCUUAAGAACUGAAUCCAAGUCUUGAACAAGGGGCCCCACCCUCUCAUUGGCCCGAGAGGGAUUAAGUUUAUAGGUUGAACCUUAAACCAAUUGUUCAAUAGUAGAUUAGUGGGACUUAAGGAGCAAGAUGUAAUCUUAGGGGUAAAACGGUAUUUUGACCCAGCCAAGGUUACGAGCAACCUGUGAAGGAUUAACUUACCGAUUAUGGUUUUAUCAAAUGGACACAAAUAUAUCUAUAGUGAGGAGUGCAACUACGGGACUUUAGUGGAAUGACCCGUUAGUUAACGAAUGUUGAUUAACUCGGUUUAAAAGAGUUUAGCUAGUUAAUCUUGAAUCGUUGGAGCCCAUGAUCUAUAGGUCUAUUAGGUUCCUCUGCUAGGUCAUAUGGAUUAAACUUAGAACAGUGUGAUGAAAUAAGUCGAAUUGCUCGAAUUGGGAGAAGAAAGGGAAACCGACAAAUAUAGUGAUACAGUCGUUGGUCUUCUAAUUAGAAAUAGAGCUUUAUGUUUUACAUACUAUAAGUAUGAAUGCGGAUUCAUACUAAGAAGCUCGGAAUUGAUGGAAUUGGUCAAAAAUAGUAAAAAGUCAAAAUGUUGACUUUUGACUUUGAAAAGUCAAACUUUGACCGGCCUUAUAUUCAAAUGUGAUUUAAAUUUUGGAAAAAUGAAUGCGGAUUCAUGCUCGGGAGGUUGGAAUUAGUUAAGACGGAGAAAAUGGUAAAAAGUCAAAAUAUUGACUUUUGACUAAGAAAAGUCAAAGUUUGACUUUUGACUAGAAAUAUCUAAUGACCAUUUUACCCUUGGACUAAGUUAGUGGGAAAAUCCAACAUUUUGUUGGAUAAUCCCACUAACUCUUAGUGGGAUAUGUGGCUAUAUGAGAUAUAGACACCUAGCCCACUAAGUUCCACUAAUUGUUAGUGGAACAUUAGGUGUUGAGAUUUGGCAAAUGAAUUGCAUGCAUUUUUGCAUGUAAUUAGGUUAUAAAUAGAGGUGUUUUCAAAUGUUAAAGAACUUUUGCCUCUUUUAUCAUUUUCAUCAUCUCAACAAAAAGAAAAA
rnacentral:lncRNA from 1 species